UAUAUGACAGAAUUUUGUCGGAAGUCUAUAACCAACGAUGUGAUAAUGAAAGUACCAGAAUGUGAAGCGUAAAAUGGAUUUAAAAUAGUAUGAGAACAGUUACAUGGUAUCCUUUCCGAAAAAGUUCAGUCUUGCCAUGGAACUUCAUAAAUUAAAGAAAGUAACAUCUAAUGCAAACAUGAGAUUAAGCAGCCUAACUACCGAAGCUACUAGCAGCUAACUACAGAUGAACACGAACAUGCAAAGUUCUAAAAGAAGCUUACUCUUUCAGCACCACCAUCAUAGCACACUACGUAUCGCUGUAGUUUCCAAAACCAAGGAAGUCCAUCGCAUUGUUCCCACAAGCAAACAGAGUCAAGAUCAAUUCUGCCAAUCAGAAACCCUUUUGCACUCAACCGCAGCAUCGCACUACUGGGUUGGUGAUCAUAGGACGGAGAGGUGUGUUAGUAAUAGGACGUUGCAAAUUUAUCUCAUCCAAUCUCGACUACACACAAGUGCUUCAAUCGUCUCGAUACUCAGUGUGCUCUGGUGCUUUGGAAUUACUGGCCCGCUGCUACUGAAUGCUGCUUCAGAUUGAACAGCAGAUGCCGGCAUCGCUAAGACGUCCCGGGCAAUAGCAGCAAGUGUGGGGUACUUUGUGGUGUGUUCCAUCCACCAUUUAAGAAUGUCAAAAUCAUCUUUUCUUGGGACUAGAACCUCCCCAAGGUAGUCGUCAAGUUCUGAAGACAUCUGGCAAUUGAGGUGCUCAUCCCAAUCUUCCAAAGGAUCAUUAUCAGCUGUAUCCAGAGCUGCACUCCUUAAAAGACGGACGCCACUCAGCUGCUCUGUAGCAUUGUAGUAUUCAUCGAAGUGUUCCUGGACCGUAUCAUGUAUUUCAGAUAAGUAGCCCAGCGAGUCUGUGUUGUAAGCCCGUUGCAGACGAAAUUGAAUGAAGCUCAUCUUUGUGCGAUAGGCGGAAAGCAUCUUACCCUCGUAUGAGGGGGCGGCGUGCAUGUUUAUAAGCAGGGGCGCACAUCCCUGAUAGCGCAUACAAGUUGUUGAGAUUACAUGCUUGAAGGAGAAGGGAUAAGAGAGAAUAAAGAGAGUUCGGUUUACAAGAGAUAAGUAUCAUCUAUGCAACCGAAAGCACUUAAACACCUAUCUCUAUCUAUCCCUAUGUCACGUACAAUGUUGCGUUUAACACCCUCCCUUAAUCACAACUUCAUCAAGUUGAGAUUAUGCUUGAAGUCUUCAAAACUCCGUGUGGGCAAAGCUUUGGUGAAUCCAUUUGCAACUUGAUCUCUAGAAUGCACAAACCGAAUGUCAAGUUGCUUAUUAGCAACUGUUUCUCUGACAAAGUGGAAAUCUAUCUCUAUGUGUUUUGUUCUGGCAUGAAACACGGGAUUAGCAGAUAGAUAGGUAGCACCAAGAUUGUCACACCACAAACAUGGAGCUUUAGUAUUUCUCACACCAAGUUCCUUAAGAAUGGAUUGAACCCAUAUAAUUUAUGUUGUUGCAUUUGCCAAUGCUUUGUAUUCUGCCUCUCUACUGGAUCUAGACACAGUUGCAUGUUUCCUUGCACUCCAUGAUAUCAAGUUAGGACCAAAAAAUACCGCAAACCCACCAGUGGAGCGCCUAUCAUCUAGGCUGCCUGCCCAAUCAGAAUCUGAGAAGGCACUGAUCAAAGUAGAUGGUGACUUGCUGAAAUUAAGACAAAUGCCCAAAGUAUUUUUGACAUAUCUAACUAUACGUUUUGCAGCAGUCCAAUGAACAGAAGUGGGUGCAUGAAGAAACUGGCAUACUUUGUUGACAGCAAAGGAAAUAUCAGGUCUUGUCAAUGUUAAGUACUGCAAUGCACCUACCAAGCUCCUGUAUUUAGUGUUGGCUUCUUUACUUAGGAGGGUACCUUCUGUAAGAGACAGUUUCUCAGAACUUGACAAAGAAGUAGAAGAGGGUUUACAACCUUGCAAGCCAGCCUUUUUUACCACGCAGUAAUUUCAAAGCUUUCCUACGCACACGCAAGAUCAUGGUGAUGCAUAGCAACGAGAGGGGAGAGUGUUGUCCACGUACCCUCGUACACCGAAAGCGGAAGCGUUAGCACAACGCGGUUGAUGUAGUCGUAUGUCUUCACGAUCCGACCGAUCAAGUACCGAACGUACGGCACCUCCGAGUUCAGCACACAUUCAGCCCGAUGACGUUCCUCGAACUCCGAUCCAGCCAAGUGUUGAGGGAGAGUUUCGUCAGCACGACGGCAAGGUGACGAUGAUGAUAUUCUACCGAUGCAGGGCUUCGCCUAAGCACCACUACAGUAUUAUCAAGGUGGACUAUGGUGGAGGGGGCACCGCACACGGCUAAAAGAUCAAACGAUCAAUUGUUGUGUCUCUAGGGUGCCCCCAUGCCCCCGUAUAUAAAGGAGCAAGGGAGGAGGUGCGGUCGGCCAGGAGGGGGCGCGCCAGGAGGAGUCCUACUCCCACCGGGAGUAGGACUCCCUCCCUUCCUUGUUGGAAUAGGAGAAGAGGGGAAAGAAGUGGAGGAGAAGAAGGAAAGGGGGGCGCCGCCCCCUCUCCUUGUCCUGUUCGGACUAGGGGGGAGGGGAGUGUGGCCCUUGCCCUGGCCGCCUCUCCUCUUCUCCACUAAGGCCCACUAUGGCCCAUUAAGCCCCCGGGGGGUUCCGGUAACCCCUCGGUACUCCGGUAAAAUCCCGAUUUCACCCGGAACACUUCCGAUAUCCAAAUAUAGGCUUCCAAUAUAUCAAGCUUCAUGUCUCGAACAUUUCGAGACUCCUCGUCAUGUCUGUGAUCACAUCCGAGACUCCGAACAACCUUCGGUACAUCAAAAAUCAUAAACUCAUAAUAUAACUAUCAUCGAAACUUUAAGCGUGCGGACCCUACGGGUUCGAGAACUAUGUAGACAUGACCGAGACACAUCUCCGGUCAAUAACCAAUAGCGGAACCUGGAUGCUCAUAUUGGCUCCCACAUAUUCUACGAAGAUCUUUAUUGGUCAGACCGCAUAACAACAUACGUUGUUCCCUUUGUCAUCGGUAUGUUACUUGCCCGAGAUUCGAUCAUCGGUAUCUCAAUACCUAGUUCAAUCUCGUUACUGGCAAGUCUCUUUACUCGUUCCGUAAUACAUCAUCUCGUAACUAACUCAUUAUUUACAAUGCUUGCAAGGCUUAUAGUGAUGUGGAUUACCGAGUGGGCCCAGAGAUACCUCUCCGACAAUCGGAGUGACAAAUCCUAAUCUCGAAAUACGCCAACCCAACAAGUACCUUUGGAGACACCUGUAGAGCACCUUUAUAAUCACCCAGUUACGUUGUGACGUUUGGUAGCACACAAAGUGUUCCUCCAAUAAACGGGAGUUGCAUAAUCUCAUAGUCAUAGGAACAUGUAUAAGUCAUGAAGAAAUCAAUAGCAACAUACUAAACGCUCAAGUGCUAAGCUAACGGAAUGGGUCAAGUCAAUCACAUCAUUCUCCUAAUGAUGUGAUCCCGUUAAUCAAAUGACAACUCAUGUAUAUGGUUAGGAAACAUAACCAUCUUUGAUCAACGAGCUAGUCAAGUAGAGGCAUACUAGUGACACUCUGUUUGUCUAUGUAUUCACACAUGUAUUAUGUUUCCGGUUAAUACAAUUCUAGCAUGAAUAACAAACAUUUAUCAUGAUAUAAGGAAAUAAAUAAUAACUUUAUUAUUGCCUCUAGGGCAUAUUUCCUUCAUAUUUUUCCUGGGAAAGAUGAAGCCCAUCAUCAUGUUUCUUCACUUCAAUCCCUAGGAAAUAAUGAAGAUCUCCAAGAUCCUUAAGAGCAAAAUCUGCACUCAAAUCUUUUAACAAUCUAGCUAUUGCCUCAUUAGAUGAACUUGUCACAAUGAUAUCAUCAACAUAAAUGAGGACAAAUAUGGAUGUGUUCAAUUUAUUGUAAAUGAACAAUGAGGUGUCAGACUUGGACGGAACGAAACCAAGUGUUUGCAUCUUAUGGCAAAGACGUGAGUACCAUGCUCGUGGUGCUUGCUUUAACCCAUAGAUUGCUUUGUCAAGUUUGCAUACAAAUGAGGGUGCAUUUUCAUUUUCAAACCCAGGAGGUUGUUUCAUGUAUACCUCCUCUUCCAGAACGCCAUGCAGAAACGCAUUCUUAACAUCUAGUUGUCUGAGACUCCAGCCCUUGGAAACAACAAUGGACAAAACAAGACGUAUAUUUGCAGCUUUAACAAUGGGACUAAAGGUAUCCUCAUAGUAUAUUCCAUACUGUUGCUUGAAACCCUUGGCAACAAGCCUUGCCUUAUACCGAUCAAUGGUUCCAUCAGAUUUCCUUUUUAUUCUGAAGACCCAUUUGCAAUCAAUAAGAUUUUUACCUUGCUAUGAAGGAACUAGAUGCCACGUGUUAUUUUUCUCUAGUGCCAAAAAUUAUUCCUUCAUUGCAUUUUUCCAUUUUUUUCAUCACGAAGUGCUUCCUCAAGAGUGCUUGGCUCACCUGGUUCACCUAUUGAACAAACUAAUCCAUAUUUUGUUACAUGCUUAUAAUCAACAGGUUUGAUCAAACCUUGUUGUAGCCUUGUUUUUCUUUGUGAUGGUGCAGCAGUAUCAGUUAGCGCAGAAGAUCCUGAAGCAGGAAUAGGAGUCCUGGAUGCUGCAACAUCCGAAGAAGAUUCACCUCGUGCGUCUCCUGGAUCUUCUGUGGCCGCUGAGGGAGUCCUGGAUUAGGGGGUCCUCGGACGGCCGGACUAUAUCCUUUGGCUGGAAUGUUGGAUUAUGAAGAUACAAGAUUGAAGACUUCGUCCCAUGUCCGGGUAGGACUCUCCUUUGCGUGGAAGGCAAGCUUGGCAAUCCAGAUAUGUAGAUCUCCUCCCUUGUAACCGACUUUGUGUAACCCUAGCCCCCUCCGGUGUCUAUAUAAACCGGAGGGUUUACUCCGUAGGACAACAACAGUCAUAAUCAUAGGCUAGCUUCUAGGGUUUAGCCUCUAUGAUCUCGUGGUAGAUCAACUCUUGUAAUACUCAUAUCAUCAAGAUCAAUCAAGCAGGACGUAGGGUAUUACCUCCAUCGAGAGGGCCCGAACCUGGGUAAACAUUGUGUCCCCCGUCUCAUGUUACCAUCCACCUUAGACGCACAGUUCGGGACCCCCUACCCGAGAUCCGCCGGUUUUGACACCAACAUUGGUGCUUUCAUUGAGAGUUCCACUGUGUCGUCACCGUAAGGCUUGAUGGCUCCUUAGAUCAUCGGCAACGAUGCGGUCCGGGUGAGGUUUUUCUCCUCGGACAGAUCUUCGUAUUCGGCGGCUUCGUACUGCGGGCCAACUCGCUUGGCCAACUGGAGCAGAUCGAGAGCUACGCCCCUGGCCAUCAGGUCAGGUUUGGAAGCUUGAACUAUACAACCGACAUCCGCGGAGACUUGAUCUUCAACGGAUUCGAGCCCAUGUCAGGUGCGCCGCACCAUCGUGACGAGCAUGACUUAGCUCUGCCGCCGGACGGUGUUCAGGCGAUCACUCCUGUGGCUACUCCGGCCUUCAAUCCGGAGCAGAUCAUGUCGUCUGAGGACAGGUGGAUGGACCCCGCCACGGAGGCCGCACACUCAAUGGCGAUAGAGCCAAAUACUGACUUCACCCCCUGUGAGACCUACGUUGCCGGACCCUUGGAUUCAUCCCCGGCCAUAGGCUCCGAACCGCCUGCGUCCGUGCCUAUCGAAUCUGAUUGGGCACCGAUCAUGGAGUUUACCUCCACGGAUAUUUUUCAGUACUCGCCCUUGGGCAACGUACUAAAUUCAUUGAGGUCUCUCUCCUUGUCAGGAGACCCUUGGUCGAACUAUGUCCGGCUUGAGUGGGAAGCGGACGACGAAGAAAUUCAUUCCCCACCCACCACCCACUUAAUAGCCACUGUCGACGACUUAACCGACAUGCUUGAUUUCAGCUCUGAAGACAUCGAUGGUAUGGAUGACAAUGCAGGAGAGGAGCAGGAACCACCUCCCACAGGGUGCUGGACAGCCACUUCAUCACAUGAUAUAUAUACAUGGUGGAUACACCCAAAGAAAACAAUGACGAGGAACAGAAUGAUGCAGCGAAGGAUAAUUCCCUCGAGAAGCAACCAAAGCGACGAUGUAGCCACCGCUCCAAAUCCCGCCUCGGCAAAAACAGCGAUAACAGCGCAAGAAAGAAUAAUACCCCGGUCGACUCCAAAGAAAGCAACGACCACAUGGACCCAGCGACAGAGCAGGAUGAACCAGCGGACGACGAACAUAGUACGGAGCCGCUAUCCGAUCACGGCGACGCCGAGGGUAAAGCUCAUCAACCUGUCUCCGGAGAGGAGAAUAGUCCGGACGACGAGGCACACAUCAUCCCGGAAAGGAACUUGGAGCAAAAGGACCUCCAUAGAAGGCUUAUUGCCACUGCGAGGAGUCUGAAGAAGCAGAAGCAAAGGCUUAAGGCCGCGCAAAAUACACUCAACAGUAGAUGGAACAAAGUGCUCGACACUGAAGAAAAGUACGGGGGCAGCCGCCACACAAAGAGCUAUCCAAAGCGCAAGCUGCUGCCCGAAUUUGAUGAUGAGGCCUUAGAGCCUAUAAAGCCGAAAAAUAAAACGGCCAAUCAGCUGGAUCGACCACCCCGUGGCCGCGAUAGGGCGGCUAACAAUGUCGCACAUAAGUCGGCACACAAUUUAUGUGAGGACUUGCACCAAAAAGCCGGUAUGACCAGGUCCAUCUACGGAUCUAGGAAGCGCGCUCCGACGCAGAAUCAAAACAGAACACUACAACCAUCAGAAUGCCAUGACACAUCCAAAUACAAGGGUGCCGCGCACCCCCUAUGCUUCACCGAUGAGGUUCUGGAUCACGAAUUCCCAGAAGGAUUCAAACCCGUGAACAUAGAGGCAUAUGACGGAACGACAGACCCUGGGGUCUGGAUUGAGGACUUUAUCCUUCAUAUCCACAUGGCUCGCGGAGAUGAUCUCCACGCCAUCAAAUACUUGCCCCUCAAGUUGAAAGGACCAGCUCGGCACUGGCUAAAGAGCCUCCCCAAAAACUCAAUUGGAAGUUGGGAAGAGCUUGAGGAUGCUUUUAGGGCUAAUUUCCAAGGGACCUAUGUCCGACUUCCGGAUGUAGACGAUUUAAGUCAUAUAAUUCAACAGCCCGGAGAGUCAGCCCGAAAGCUUUGGAACAGAUUCCUCACUAAGAAGAAUCAAAUCGUCGACUGCCCGGACGCCAAAGCCUUAGCGGCUUUCAAACACAGUGUCCGGGACGAAUGGCUCACCAGACACCUCGGCCAGGAAAAACCGAGGACAAUGGCAGCCCUAACAAGCCUUAUUACCCGCUUUUGCGCAGGCAAAGAUAGCUGGCUGGCCCGUAGCGGCACCAGCGACCCAGACACAUCCGAAGUCAGGGAUGGCAAUGUAAAACCACGAUGCAAUAAAAGCAGGCGUCGAAACAAUGAAGACAGCCCAGACAACACGGCGGUAAAUGCCGGAUUCAGGGGCUCUCGACACGGUCAACGGAAAAAGGCAUUUAAAGGCAGCAAAGAUGGACCGUCCAACCUAAACAAGAUUCUAGACAGAUUAUGUCAGAUUCAUGGCACCUCCGACAAACCGGCAAAUCACACCAACAGAGAAUGCUGGGUCUUCAAGCAGGCCGGCAAGCUAAACGUCGAACACAAGGGGAGGGAGACACCAAGCGAAGACGAGGAUGAGCCUCGCCAACCGAACACUGGGGGACAGAAAAAUUCCCACCAGAGGUCAAAACAGUGAACAUGAUUCAUGUAACGAAGAGGAGGAGCAAAUGCGCACUCCGAGACAUACGCACCGUGGAGCCCGUCACCCCAAGUGUUGUGGGCCUGCCCGAUCAUUUUUGAUUGCAGGGAUCGCCCGACUAGUAUCCGGCACGGAGGAUCGGCUGCCUUGGUACUGGACCCAAUAAUUGACGGAUACAAUCUCACCCGAGUCCUUACGGACAGCGGCAGUAGUCUUAAUCUGAUAUAUCAGGACACAGUCCGCAAAAUGGGGAUAGACCCAACAAGAAUCAGCCAAAGCAAUACUACCUUUAAAGGAGUAAUACCAGGCCCAGAGGCCCGCUGCACGGGCUCUCUAGUACUAGAGGUUGUAUUCGGUUCUCCCGACAACUUCCAAAGUGAAAAGUUAACCUUCGACAUCGCUCCAUUCCGAAGCGGCUAUCAAGCACUACUCGGAAGAACGGCCUUCGCUCGUUUUAAUGCAAUACCGCAUUAUGCUUAUCUUAAGCUUAAGAUGCCCGGUCCACGUGGCAUCAUCAUAGUUAGCGGAAAACACAGAACGUUCCUGACGUGCGGAAGAACGUGUGGCGGCUUUAGCAGCCGAACACUGAGCACCCCCUCCAACCAGAAUAAACAAUAGGUCGUCAAGACCGCGGACACGGCUAGACGAGUCCGGCGCACAACUAGCUGUAACAGCUCAGAUAAACCCAAGACUGGGUCGAUGGAUAUACCCCCAUAGGUGGUGCUAGGGGCUUCCCACAUGUAAAAAGGACUAUAGUUCGGCUUGAUCUUAUUUAGAUUGAAUUUUAAAGGUUUAUUAAGAUUAACCAAUUUUUCGCACGAAAACUUUCACUUGGGCUUUUCUCUCUUACAGAUGAUCAUUGUGCUACACCCUUCCAGGAUACGGCACAACGGAGAUACAGGCGCAGACGUGCAGCAGGGCCCCGUUCAAAGGUUUCUUUUUAGAUUAAGACCAUGUGUAAACCUUUUUUACUGUCUCUUGUUGCUUCACCCCUCGGGAUACUCAACAUAACCAAGAGGGAUGCUGGCGUUAUUGACAUUUCGUCACGUCAGACUAAUGCACGUACCUAGAAAUUCAGGGCUUAUUAUCGAGGGCGUUACUCAGCCAGUAUACAUUGUAAAGACUGAAUACCUUAGGGAGUGUUCGGCGUCGCGCGUUUGGCCUUAUAUGCAUUAGCUCCGAAUCAUGUCUUUGGUCAAUAGUUGGGUUUGCCCGGCUCCCGUGUUUUGCUACCUUACGUUUCGCUCUAUCGGCUAAGGUGGCACCGGGAGAACUACUGCAAUUGUGCCCUGGUUCAUCUGGACAAGCACCUCAGUAGAGAAAGCCGAAAAGUGACUGUCAUGAUAAAGCGCGAGACUGGUCAACCACUCGAGGACUCAACAGAAUCUUUGUGAUUCCUCCGCAUUAACGAAGGACCGGUUUCCCAGUCAUGUAUGUACGCGCACCGCAUUCGAAUAAGCACGGAAGUACCAGGGGCUAUAUAGUAGCCCCACUGUCAAACUCCUAUGGCUAAGUGAAAGUGUUAAAGCAAUAUAGUCUGAUUGCCUUGUUCGCUGCGCUAUCACCUCCUUAAUGCACCAAGACGCUGGAUCAAGUGUGAAUACGCGCUUUUCCGAACACCCCCCACAUUAUAUGCGUGGGGGCUGAAGCCGACGACUGCAAACUUUCAGGUUAUAUACAUACAUAAAACGACCGCACAGCAGGCAUCAUAAUACUUUCAGGCAAAAGUAUAAACACAGCCUUUUAUAAGCCAAAUAGCAUUGUUUUUACAAAUUGGGAUACAUGUCACUCGAACAUGAUACUCUUCGAGCACUGAGCCUCUAUUAAAAGAGCGCCUUCUAGGACUUCUUCAAAAUAGUGCUCGGACGAGACCUGGCCUACGGCCGGACCCCGGGUUGCAAUAGCGGUGGCAUCCAUCUCUGCUCAGUAUGUCUUAACACGGGCAAGAGCCAUCCACGCAUCCUCUAUGCACGAUGACCUCUUUACAGCGUCGAUAUGCGGCACAGCACCAAGGAAUCAUUGCACUAAACCAAAAUAACUAUUCGGCCUUGGUCCUUCCGGCCAAAGAUGAUCCACGACAGACCUCAUGGCAAGCCCGGACAACCUAUGAAGCUUAGCCCACUCGGCCAUUUGCUCAUUUAACUGCAGCGGACACGUUGGAGCACUGAACUGCGACCAGAACAACUUUUCCACUUCGUGAUAUUUUUUAUCUUUGAAAAACUCCGUCGCAUCAGCAACACUCAUUGCCAGGUCUGAAUACAUGUCUGCAGCACUCCAUAAUUGAUCCAGAGGGGCAUACUUCAGAUCUCCAAACUUCGUCCACAACAAAAAGGGCUUCCCAGCCAUGAUAUCUCCGGCUUGACGAAGCUCCUCCUUCGCCGCUCUGAUUUUAGAGCGGGUCUCCUUGCCUGCUACCAUGGUUUUCUCCAGGUCCGCCGCUUUCGCUUGGCUUUCCUUUUCAAGAAGCUCAUACCAGACGGCGGCAUCCUUCAGCUCAAUAGCCAUCUUGGCUAUUUUAUCUUCGCUCUGGCGACGAGCAGCCUGUUCGGCUCUUAACUCUUCGGCCGCCUUUAGGGCGGCCGCAUCACUCCUCCUGGCUUGUUCCUUGGCUUGGGCAAGUUCCGCCUGAAGGGUCUCCACGGCAGCAGCUCCAUCUGUAGUCACAGCAUAUUAUAGAUACUAGCAUCAUGCUCCUCUUAAUAUUUGUUGACCACCCGAAAAUACAAACCCUGUGCCUCGUCAAGCCGCUUGUUCACAAGCGCGAUGUCAACAUCUGCCGCGUCAAGUUGCCGGCUAAGUCCAGCAAAUUCAGCAGUCCGGCCAUCCACCAGACUGUCAGCCGCCUGCACAUGAAAGCAGCGCGAUCAUUACCUGGGACUACGAUCCUCUGUUUACCUCCUCCGGACAACAAUCAGAGUCUCAGGGCUACUAUCUGUAUAGAGCACACCUAGCAUGUGUGGUACCAUCAAAAAAAUUAUAUAUUACUUUACGUACCUCAAAGCCUCUUAGCAGGCUUGUAAAAGCUUCAUGCAACCCACUUUUGGCAGAUGAGAUCCUCUCAACCACUGUACCCAUUAAAGUAUGAUGCUCCUCCGAGAUAGCCGCUUGCUCCAGAAGACCCAUCAAUACGUCUGGUUGUGCACAGGAUAAUCCCAGACUCUUUAUGCUGCUCUCCUUAGGAGCUGAAUACUUCAGACUUCGGGUGGCCGAAGGGUUACCUUCUGGCCUUGGCGGAUCAGGAGAAAUCCUCCGUGAUGACACCUCAGGGUCGUCUGCCCCAGGAGACUAGGAGUCAGGGGGAGGCGUUUCGCUCUCCAUCAUCUCUGGAAGAAGACCCCCCGAAGACGAACUCUGUUGAGAAGGGCUAUGAUCCGGCCUGCAAGAUGUAUGUCUCGGUUAUUGUCCCCGGAGAUAAAGCAGGAUAUAUUUACCGAAAGUACUCUUGAUUCACUUACAGCUCGAUGGAGGGCUGGCCCCCUCGCGGGCACUGUGCGGUAAGGACGCCCUCCGGGGCACGGCCCCCUGGCAAAGGUUUUUUCCCUCGUUUGGAAACCUUCGCUUCCGAGUCUUCAAAGGCGGUCCUUUUCUUUCCUUGGGGAGAGGGGAUUCUAGAUUCUUCUCCUCGGUCAUCCUCCUUCGUGGAGACACUAAUUCCCCCGGUUUGAAUGAGUAAUGCGUGAGGCCCGCUUUCAGCUUCCUUAUCCCUCCCUUUAUCUUCCCCUGAUGGCACUUGAUAAGGCGCGAGCUCAAGCAUCCUGGCUAGUACAGGAUCUGGUGAGCCUUCGGGAAGGGGGGCCGAACACCUGAUCAUCUUCGCCUUUCUUAUCCAGUCCUGUCCAAGAUCAAUUUUUUCAGAAUGAUGUUACGACAAAUGAAAAGACGACAUGUUCGGCUGCAGAAUUACUUACAUGGGUAUCUGGACGAUUGCAGUUUAGACCCACAUCCUCGAUGGUGUCCGAACACUUUAUUCGUGAUCCCAAGAACAAUCCAUACAUCCCUUCGAGCGUCAUGCCGAAGAGUUGCUGAAUAGUUCGCGGUCCUUCCGGGUUGAACUCCCACAUAUGGAGAGAUCGGUGUUGGCAUGGCAGUACCCGACGGACUAGCAUAACUUGCAUUACCUUGACGAGACUGACGUCCCUCUUGAGGAGAUCUCAGAUACGUCUCCGACGUAUCUAUAAUUUUUUUAUUGUUCCAUGCCAAUAUUCUACAACUUUCAUAAGUUUUGGCAACUUUUUAUACUAUUUUUGGGACUAACAUAUUGAUCCAGUGCCCAGUACCAGUUCCUGUUUGUUGCAUGUUUUUUGUUUCGCAGAAUAUCCAUAUCAAACAGAGUCCAAACGGAAUAAAAACCGAUGGAGAUUUUUUUUGGAAUAUAUAUGAUUUUUGGGAAGAAAAAUCCACGCGAGACGAUGCUCGAGGGGCCCAUGAGGCAGGGGGCGCGCCCCAGGGGGCAGGCACGCCCCUGAGCCUCGUGGCCACCCCGUAAGGCGGUUGAUGCCCUACUUUCUCCGCAAGAAAGCUAAUAUCUGGAUAGAGAUCGUGUUAAAAUUUCAGCCCAAUCGGAGUUACGGAUCUCCGGGAAUAUAAGAAAUGGUGAAAGGGUAGAAUCUGAGAACGCAAAAACAGAGAAAGACAGAGAGACAGAUCCAAUCUCGGAGGGGCUCUCGCCCUCCUGUGCCAUGGAGGCCAUGGACCAGAGGGGAAACCCUUCUCCCAUCUAGGGAGGAGGUCAAGGAAGAAGAAGGAGGAGGGGGGCUCUCUCCCCCUCGCUUCCGGUGGCGCCGGAGUGCCACCGGGGUCCAUCAUCAUCACUGCAAUCUUCACCAACAACUUCACCGCCAUCAUCACCAACUCUUCCCCCCUCUAUGCAGCGGUGUAACCUCUCUCUUACCCGUUGUAAUCUCUACUUAAACAUGGUGCUCAAUGCUAUAUAUUAUUUCCCAAUGAUGUAUGGCUAUCCUAGAUCCGUUUUGUCUUAUGGGCUAUUUGAUAAUCAAGAUUGGUUUGAGUUGCAUGUUUUAUUAUUGGUGCUGUCCUAUGGUGCUCUCCAUGUCGCGCAAGCGUGAGGAAUCCCCGCUGUAGGGUGUUGCAAUACGUUCAUGAUUCGCUUAUAGUGGGUUGCGUGAGUGACUAAAACACAAACCCGAGUAAGGGGGUUGUUGCAUAUGGGAUAAAGAGGACUUGAUACUUUAAUGCUAUGGUUGGGUUUUACCUUAAUGAUCUUUAGUAGUUGCGGAUGCUUGCUAGAGUUCCAAUCAUAAGUGCAUAUGAUCCAAGUAGAGAAAGUAUGUUAGCUUAUGCCUCUCCCUCAAAUAAAAUUGCAAUAAUGAUUACCGGUCUAGUUAUCGAUUGCCUAGGGACAAAUAACUUUCUCGUAACAAAAAGCUCUCUACUAAAAAUAAUUUAGUUGUGUCUUUAUCUAAACAGCCCCUACUUUUUAUUUACAUGCUCUUUAUUACCUUGCAAACCUAUCCAACAACACCUACAAAGUACUUCUAGUUUCAUACUUGUUCUAAGUAAAGCGAACAUCAAGCGUGCGUAGAGUUGUAUCGGUGGUCGAUAGAACUUGAGGGAAUAUUUGUUCUACCUUUAGCUCCUCGUUGGGUUCGACACUCUUACUUAUCGAAAACUGUUGCGAUCCCCUAUACUUGUGGGUUACCAAGACCUUUUUCUGGCGCUGUUGCCGGGGAGUCAUAGUGUGGGGUGAAUAUUCUCGUGUGUGCUUGUUUGCUUUAUCACUAAGUAAUUUUUAUUUGCUGUUCUUAGUUGUUCUUUAUCUUUAGUUAUGGAUAUGGAACACGAAAUACCAAAAAAAUUAGGUGUACUUUCUGCUCAUGGAGAUGGGGAACCUCCUAAAACCCUCGAUGCUGGUUAUGUGAAAGAUAUUAUGUACUACUUUAAUAAUCCUGAGAAAACCCCAUUCAAUUAUGUAAUGGGAGUAACGUUGGAUUAACUGAAUACUUUAGGGAUUACCGCUUGACUCAAAAAGGGAAACUAUUAUGGGAUCAAAUUCAUAUAUUGAAGUGGUAUGCUAGGCAACCAAGCUUGAGAUAUGAUUAUACUUGUUGCUCUAGGAUGAAGGCUCCACACCUUCCCUUUUCAUACGAAUUUAAUGAUAAUAAAACCUUAGCUUCUUAUGCUAAUGGUAUAUAUGAUUACUAUGAUGUGGAACAAAUAUAAGAAUUUGUUGCUUUUAUGGGUGCUUAUGAAAUUGAAUCUAUGUUUAAAGAGUUUGAAGACUUUGAUGAUUCGGUUUAUAGACCUGAAAAUUUAGUUAUCCUUAAAUAUUGUUAUGAGAAUUAUGAAUACAAUUAUGAUACUAAUGCACUUAUUGAGAAAGUCUCCGCUGUCCAAGAAGAGACUAAUAUUUUGCAGGAGUCUAUGGAAGAAGAAAUUGAUGAAACUGUGAGCUCAUUGGAUGAAAAAGAUGAGGAGGAGAGCAAAGAACAAAAGGAGGAAGAGCGGAUUGAUCACCCGUGCCCACCUUCUAAUGAGAGUAACUCUUUGAUGUCUACUACACAACCUUCUUCUUGUAGACGUUGUUGGUCCUCCAAGUGCAGAGGUUUGUAGGACAGUAGCAAAUUUCCCUCAAGUGGAUGACCUAAGGUUUAUCAAUCCGUAGGAGGCGUAGGAUGAAGAUGGUCUCUCUCAAGCAACCCUGCAACCAAAUAACAAAGAGUCUCGUGUGUCCCCAACACACCCAAUACAAUGGUAAAUUGUAUAGGUGCACUAGUUCGGCGAAGAGAUGGUGAUACAAGUGGUAUAUGGAUAGUAGAUAUGGGUAUUUGUAAUCUGAAAAUAUAAAAACAGCAAGGUAAAUAAUGAUAAAAGUGAGCGUAAACGGUAUUGCAAUGCGUUGAAACAAGGCCUAGGGUUCAUACUUUCGCUAGUGCAAGUUCCCUCAACAAUAAUAACAUAAUUGGAUCACAUAACUAUCCCUUAACAUGCAACAAAGAGUCACUCCAAAGUCACUAAUAGCGGAGAACAAACGAAGAGAUUAUGGUAGGGUACGAAACCACCUCAAAGUUAUUCUUUCCAAUCAAUCCGUUGGGCUAUUCCUAUAAGUGUCACAAACACCCCUAGAGUUCAUACUAGAAUAACACCUUAAGACACAAAUCAACCAAAACCCUAAUGUCACCUAGAUACUCCAAUGUCACCUCAAGUAUCCGUGGGUAUGAUUAUACGAUAUGCAUCACACAAUCUCAGAUUCAUCUAUUCAACCAACACAUAGAACCUCAAAGAGUGCCCCAAAGUUCCUACCGGAGAAUCACGAUGGAAAUGUGUACCAACCCCUAUGCAUAGGUUCAUGGGUGGAACCCGCAAGUUGAUCACCAAAACAUACAUCAAGUGAAUCACAUGAUAUCCCAUUGUCGCCACAGAUACACACGGCAAGACAUACAUCAAGUGUUCUCAAAUCUUUAAAGACUCAAUCCGAUAAGAUAACAUCAAAGGGGAAACUCAAUCCAUUACAAGAGAGAGGGGGGGAGGAGAAACAUCAUAGGAUCCAAAUAUAAUAGCAAAGCUCGUGAUACAUCAAGAUCGUAUCACCUCAAGAACACGAGAGAGAGAGAGAGAGAGAGAGAGAGAUCAAACACAUAGCUACUGGUACAUACCCUCAGCCCUGAGGGAGAACUACUUCCUCCUCAUCAUGGAGAGCACCGGGAUGAUGAAGAUGGCCACCAGAGAGGGAUUGCCCCCUCCGGCAGGGUGUUGGAACGGGUCUAGAUUGGCUUUCGGUGGCUACGGAGGCUUCUGGCGGCGGAACUCCUGAUCUAUUGUGCUCUCGGAUGUUUUUAGGGUAUAUGGAGAUAUAUAGGCGGAAGAAGUACGCCAGGGGGGCCAUGAGGGGCCCACGAGGGUGGAGGGUGCGCCCAGGGGGUGGGCGCGCCCCCUACCUCAUGGCCUCCUCGAAGCUUCCCUUACGUAGACUCCAAGUCUUCUAGGCUUCUUCUGAUCCAAAAAUAGGUUCCUUGAAGUUUCAGGUCAUUUGGACUCCGUUUGAUUUUCCUUUUCUUUGAAACCCUAAAACAAGGUAAAAACAGAAACUGGCACUGGGCUCUGGGUUAAUAGGUUAGUCCCAAAAAAUGAUACAAAAGUGUAUAAUAAAGCCCAUAAACAUCCAAAACAGUAGAUAAUAUAGCAUGGAGCAAUCAAAAAUUAUAGAUACGUUGGAGACGUAUCAGCAUCCCCAAGCUUAAUUCUUGCUCGUCCUCGAGUAGGUAAAUGAUAAAAACAGAAUUUUUGAUGCGGAGUGCUACUUGGCAUAAUUUCAAUGUAAUUCUUCUUAAUUGUGGCAUGAAUAUUCAGAUCCAAAAGAUUCAAGACAAAAGUUCAUAUUGACAUAAAAAUAAUAAUACUUCAAGCAUACUAACUAAGCAAUUAUGUCUUCUCAAAAUAACAUGGCCAAAGAAAGUUCAUCCCUACAAAAUCAUAUGGUUUAGUCAUGUUUCAUUUUCGUCACACAAGAAUGCUAUCAUCAUGCACAACCCCGAUGACAAGCCAAGCAAUUGUUUCAUACUUUAGUAAUCUCAAACCUAUAAACUUUCACGCAAUAUAUGAGCGCGAGCCAUGGACAUAGCACUAUAGGUGGAAUAGAAUAUAAUGAGUGGGCUUAUGUGGAGAAGACAAAAAGGAGGAAGUCUCACAUCAACGAGGCUAAUCAAUGGGCUAUGGAGAUGCCCACCGAUUGAUGUUAAUGCAAGGAGUAGGGAUUGCCAUGCAACGGAUGCACUAGAGCUAUAAAUGUAUGAAAUCUCAACAAAAGAAACUAGUGGGUGUGCAUCCAACUUGCUUGCUCACGAAGACCUAGGGCACUUGAGGAGGCCCAUUGUUGGAAUAUACAAGCCAAGUUCUAUAAUGAAAAAUUCCCACUAGUAUAUGAAAGUGAUAACAUGAGAGACUCUCUACUAUGAAGAUCAUGGUGCUACUUUGAAGCACAAGUGUGGCAAAGGAUAGUAACAUUGUCCCUUCUCUCUUUUUCUCUCAUUUUCUCUUUUUUUUCUUUGGCCUUUUCUUUUUUAUGGCCUUUCUCCUUUUUUGGGGCCUUAUCUUUUUUUAUGGCCUUUCCUCUUUUUUUUAUUCCUCACUUGGGACAAGGCUCUAGAAAAUGAUGAUCAUCACACUUCUAUUUAUUUACAACUCAAUGAUUACAACUCGAUACUAGAACAAAGAUGACUCUAUAUGAAUGCCUCCGAUGGUGUACCGGGAUAUGCAAUGAACCAAGAGUGACAUGUAUGAAAGAAUUAUGAACGGUGGCUUUGCCACAAAUACUAUGUCAACUACAUGAUCAUGCUAAGCAAUAUGACAAUGAUAAAUGUGUCAUGAUGAACGGAAUGAUGGAAAGUUGCAUGACAAUAUAUCUCGGAAUGGCUAUGGAAAUGCCAUAAUAGGUAGGUAUGGUGGCUGUUUUGAGGAAGAUAUAAGGAGGUUUAUGUGUGAAAGAGCGUAUCAAAUCACGGGGUUUGGAUGCACCGGCGAAGUUUGCGCCAACUCUCAAUGUGAGAAAGGGCAAUGCACGGUACCAAAGAGGCUAGCAAGGAUGGAAGGGUGAGAGUGCGUAUAAUCCAUGGACUCAACAUUAGUCAUAAAGAACUCACAUACUUAUUGCAAAAAUCUACAAGUCAUCAAAAACCUCGGCACUACAUGCAUGCUCCUAGGGGGAUAGAUUGGUAGGAAAAUACCAUCGCUCGUCCCCGGCCGCCACUCAUAAGGAAGACAAUCAAAUAACACCUCAUGUUUCGAAUUUGUUACAUAACGUUUACCAUACGUGCAUGCUAUGGGACUUGCAAACUUCAACACAAGCAUUUCUCAAAUUCACAACUACUCAACUAGCACGACUUUGAUAUUAUUACCUCCAUAUCUCAAAACAAUCAUCAAGCAUCAAACUUCUCUUAGUAUUCAAUGCACUCAUAAGAAAAUUUUACUAAUCUUGAAUACCUAGCAUAUUAGGAUUUUAAGAAAAUUACCAUGCUAUUUAAGACUCUCAAAAUAAUCUAAGUGAAGCAUGGGAGUUCAUCUAUUUCUUCAAAAUAAAACUACCACCAUGCUCUAAAAGAUAUAAGUGAUCGAAGCACUAAAGCAAAUGACAAACUACUCCGAGAGAUAUAAGUGAAGAUCAAUGAGUAGUCGAAUAAUUAUGCAACUAUGUGAAGACUCUCUCAUUUAAUAAUUUCAGAUCUUGAUAAUUUAUUCAAACAGCAAGAAAAGCAAAAUAAAAUGACAUCUAAGAAUAGCAAACAUCAUGUGAAGAAGCAAAAACAUAGGAUCAACCGAUACUAACCGAUAGUUGUUGAAGAAGAAAGGUGGGAUGCCAACCGGGGCAUCCCCAAGCUUAGACGCUUGAGACUUCUUGAAAUAUUAUCUUGGGAUGCCUUAGGCAUCCCCAAGCUUGAGAUUUUGUGUCUCCUUAAUUCCUCUCAUAUCACGGUCUCCCUAAAUCUCAAAAGCUUCAUCCACACAAAACUCAACAAGGACUCGUGAGAUAAGUUAGUAUAAACCAUUGCAAAAACCUUAUCAUAGUCUACUGUAGCAAAUCACUAAAAUUAUUAUUAAACAUUGCAUACUAAAUGUCUCUGCAUAUUUAAUAGUCCUAUCCUCAAAUAGAAUCAUUAAAGAAGCAAACAUAUGCAAACAAUGCAAACAUAACAGCAAUCUGCCUAAACAGGACAGUCUGUAAAGAAUGCAGCAACAUCCAUACUUCCCUAGCUCCAAAAAUUAUGAAAGAAAAUUCCCACUGUAGUAAAUUUAUCAGAGCUUAAUAUUCAAAAGGUUUCAACAUUUUAUCACAUUCUGACUUUUGUAGGGAAUUAUUGCAACAGCGUAAACUUUCUGUUUUCAAACAGCAACAUGUGGACUUCUAAAAUAGGCAUAGUAAAGGCUAUCAAUGCCACAUUUAUUGAAAUAAAAGAUGAAAACAUUGUUCUAAAUAACAGCAAGAAAAUCUUAACAAAAUAAAUUGACGCUCCAAGCAAAACACAUAUCAUGUGGCGAAUAAAAAUAUAGCUCCAAGUAAAUUUACCGAUGAACGAAGACGAAAGAGGGGAUGCCUUCCGGGGCAUCCCCAAGCUUAGGCUCUUGGUUGUCCUUGAAUAUUACCUUGGGGUGCCUUGGGCAUCCCCAAUCUUAGGCUCUUACCACUCCUUAUUCCAUAGUCCAUCGAAUCUUUACCCAAAACUUGAAAACUUCACAACACAAAACUUAACAGAAAACUCGUAAGCUCCGUUAGUAUAAGAAAAUAAAUCACCACUUCAAGGUACUGUAAUGAACUCAUUAUUUAUUUAUAUUGGUGUUAAACAUACUGUAUUCCAACUUCUCUAUGGUUUAUAAACUAUUUUACUAGCCAUAGAUUCAUCAAAAUAAGUAAACAACACAUGAAAAAACAGAAUCUGUCAAAAACAGAACAGUCUGUAGUAAUCUGGAUCAAACAUAUACUUCUGGAACUCAUAAAAUUCUCAAAUAAAUUGCUGGACCUGAGGAAUUUAUCUAUUAAUCAUCUGAAAAAAUAAUUAACUAAAUAGCACUCUCCAAAUAAAAAUGGCAGCAAUUCUCGUGAGCGCUAAAGCUUCUGUUUUUUUACAGCAUGAUCGCAAAGACUUUCCCCGAGUCUUCCCAAAGGUUCUACUUGGAACAAACGCUAAUUAAACACAUAAAACCACAUAUAAAAAGAGGCUAGAUGAAUUAUUUAUUACUAAACAGGAACAAAAAGCAAGGAACAAAAAUAAAGUUGGGUUGCCUCCCAACAAGCGCUAUCGUUUAGCGCCCCUAGCUAGGCAUGAUGACUUCAAUGAUGCUCACAUAAAAGAUAAGGAUUGAAACAUAAAGAGAGCAUCAUGAAGACUAUUACUAGCACAUUUAAGUCUAACCCACUUCCUAUGCAUAGGGAUUUUGUGAGCAAACAACUUGUGGGAACAAGAAUCAACUUGCAUAGGAAGGUAAGACAAGCAUAACUUCAAAACUUUAAGCACAUAGAGAGGAAACAUGAUAUUAUUGCAAUUCCUACAAGCAUAUGUUCCUCCCUCAUAAUAAUUUUCAGUAGCAUCAUGAAUGAAUUCAACAAUAUAACCAGCACUCAAAGCAUUCUUUUCAUGAUCUACAAGCAUAGAGAAUUUACUACUCUCCACAUAAGCAAAAUUCUUCCCAUGAAGGAGCAAAUAACUGUCAUGUGAUUGAAAAUUAAGAUCAAUAUGACAAGGUUCAUUGUUAUUAUUAUUCUUUAAAGCAUACGUGUCAUCAGAAUAAUCAUCAUAGAUAGGAGGCAUGCUUUCAUCAUAAUAAAUUUGCUCAUCAUAACUUGGGGGACAAAAAAUAUCAUCUUCAUCGAACAUAGCUUCCCCAAGCUUGUGGCUUUGCAUAUCAUUAGCAUCAUGGAUAUUCAAAGAAUUCAUACUAACAACACUGCAAUCAUGCUCAUCAUUCAAAUAUUUAGUGCCAAACAUUCUAAUGCAUUCUUCUUCUAACAUUUUGGCACAAUUUUACUUUCCAUCAUACUCACGAAAGAUAUUAAAAAAAGCGUAUGAGACAAACUCAAUUCCAUUUUUUGUAGUUUUAUUUUAUAAACUAAACUAGUGAUAAAACAAGAAACUAAAAGACUCGAUUACAAGAUCUAAAGAUAUACCUUCAAGCACUCACCUCAACGGCAACGGUGCCAGAAAAGAGCUUGAUGUCUACUACACAACCUUCUUCUUGUAGACGUUGUUGGGCCUCCAAGUGCAGAGGUUUGUAGGACAGUAGCAAAUUUCCCUCAAGUGGAUGACCUAAGGUUUAUCAAUCCGUAGGAGGCGUAGGAUGAAGAUGGUCUCUCUCAAGCAACCCUGCAACCAAAUAACAAAGAGUCUCUUGUGUCCCCAACACACCCAAUACAAUGGUAAAUUGUAUAGGUGCACUAGUUCGGCGAAGAGAUGGUGAUACAAGUGGUAUAUGGAUAGUAGAUAUGGGUAUUUGUAAUCUGAAAAUAUAAAAACAGCAAGGUAACUAAUGAUAAAAGUGAGCGUAAACGGUAUUGCAAUGCGUUGAAACAAGGCCUAGGGUUCAUACUUUCGCUAGUGCAAGUUCCCUCAACAAUAAUAACAUAAUUGGAUCACAUAACUAUCCCUCAACAUGCAACAAAGAGUCACUCCAAAGUCACUAAUAGCGGAGAACAAACGAAGAGAUUAUGGUAGGGUACGAAACCACCUCAAAGUUAUUCUUUCCAAUCAAUCCGUUGGGCUAUUCCUAUAAGUGUCACAAACAGCCCUAGAGUUCGUACUAGAAUAACACCUUAAGACACAAAUCAACCAAAACCCUAAUGUCACCUAGAUACUCCAAUGUCACCUCAAGUAUCCAUGGGUAUGAUUAUACGAUAUGCAUCACACAAUCUCAGAUUCAUCUAUUCAAUCAACACAUAGAACCUCAAAGAGUGCCCCAAAGUUCCCACCAGAGAAUCACGACGAAAACGUGUGCCAACCCCUAUGCAUAGGUUCAUGGGCGGAACCCACAAGUUGAUCAUCAAAACAUAUAUCAAGUGAAUCACGUGAUAUCCCAUUGUCACCACAGAUACGCACGGCAAGACAUACAUCAAGUGUUCUCAAAUCUUUAAAGACUCAAUCCGAUAAGAUAACUUCAAAGGGGAAACUCAAUCCAUUACAAGAGAGAGGGGGGAGGAGAAACAUCAUAGGAUCCAAAUAUAAUAGCAAAGCUCGCGAUACAUCAAGAUCGUAUCACCUCAAGAACACGAGAGAGAGACAGAUCAAACACAUAGCUACUGGUACAUACCCUCAGCCCCGAGGGAGAACUACUCCCUCCUCGUCAUGGAGAGCACCGGGAUGAUGAAGAUGGCUACCGGAGAUGGAUUGCCCCCUCCGGCAGGGUGCCGGAACGGGUCUAGAUUGGCUUUCGGUGGCUACGAAGGCUUCUGGCAGCGGAACUCCCGAUCUAUUGUGCUCUCGGAUGUUUUUAGGGUAUAUGGAGAUAUAUAGGCGGAAGAAGUAUGUCAGGGGGCCACGAGGGGCCCACGAGGGUGGAGGGCACGCCCCCCUACCUCGUGGCCUCCUUGAAGCUUCCCUUACGUAGACUCCAAGUCUUCUGGGCUUCUUCUGAUCCAAAAAUAGGUUCCGUGAAGUUUCGGGUCAUUUGGACUCCGUUUGAUUUUUCCUUUUCUUUGAAACCCUAAAACAAGGUAAAAACAAAAACUGGCACUGGGCUCUGGGUUAAUAGGUUAGUCCCAAAAAAUGAUAUAAAAGUGUAUAAUAAAGCCCGUAAACAUCCAAAACAGUAGAUAAUAUAGCAUGGAGCAAUCAAUAAUUAUAGAUACGUUGGAGACGUAUCACUCUUCAACUCAUACAUUGUUUAAUUUCCCUUCGUGCUUACCAAAGGAUGAUUGCUAUGAUGACUAUUAUGAUCUCGUUGAUUCUUUUGAAAUAUCCCUUUUUUGAUGAUGCUUGCUAUGCUUGUGGCCAAGAUGCCAAUAUGAAUUAUGCUUAUGAAGAUGAACUUGCUAUAGUUCCUUAUGUUAAACAUGAAAUUGUUGUUAUUGCACCCACGCAUGAUAGUCCUAUUAUCUUUUUGCAUUCUCCCAAUUACACUAUAUCGGAGAAGUUUACCCUUAUUAAGGAUUAUAUUGAUGGGUUGCCUUAUACCGUUGCACAUGAUGAUUUUGAUGAAUAUAACAUGCAUGUGCUUGCUGCUCCUACUUGCAAUUAUUAUGAGAGAUGAACUAUAUCUCCACCUCUCUAUGUUUCCAAUAUGAUAAAAUUGCAAGAAACUGUUUAUACUAUGCAUUGGCCUUUACUAUGUGUGCAUGAAUUGUUCUUUUAUGACAUGCCGAUGCAUAGGAAGAGAGUUAGACUUCGUAGUUACAUGAUAUAUGUUGCUUUGUGCUACUACUAAAUUACAAAUCAUUGUUAAUUAAAAUUGGCUUUGAUAUACCUUGGGAUCCGGGUGGAUUCACUACUUGAGCACUAUAUGCCUAGCUUAAUGGCUUUAAAGAAAGCGCUGCCAGGGAGACAAGCCGGAAGUUUUAGAGAGUCAUUUAUUUCUGUUGAGUGCUUUCAUAUAGUUUAAAAACAACAAAAAUAAAGAGGGGAACCCAAAACUUUUUCAAAAAGGAAAGUGAAAGUGAGAGAGACAAGCAUUAUUGAAGUGGGAGAGCUCCUUGAACUUUGUUCAUGCUCACGGCAACUUUGUGAAUCUUGAUUACAGAAACUUUUCAAUAAAAAUAAUUAUCCCCUUGUACAAUUCCAUUGUAUUAUAAAAAUAAUGUGCCAAGGUUUGCCUUUAGGAUGUUUACAUUUGCUUGAUGGUUUGUACGGUGCAGGACAGAAACUUUGGCUGUAGUGCGCGAUUUUACAUUUUUAGCUGGAACAUCAAAUGGUUCUGAUUAUUUUUGCACUGUCUUUAUAUACAAAUUUUUUAUUUUUCCUAAUUUUGGCAGAAAUUUUCAAGUAUCAGAAGUAGUGAAUGUUCAGAUUAUUACAGACUGUUCUGUUUUAGAUAGAUUCUGUUUUUAAUGCAUAGUUUGCUUGUUUUGAUGAAACUAUCGAUUAAUAUCAGUGGAUUAAGCCAUGAAAAAGUUAUAUUAUAGUAUCCAUAAUGCAAAAACAAAAUAUGAAUUGGUUUGCAACAGUACUUAGAGUAGUGACUUGCUUUAUUAUACUAACGGAUCUUACCGAAUUUUCUAUUGAAGUUUUGUGUGGAUGAAGUGUUCGAUGAUCGAGAAGGUCUCGAUGUGAGAAGAAGGAAGAGAGGCAAGAGCUCAAGCUUGGGGAUGCCCGAGGCACCCCAAGUAAAUAUUCAAGGAUACUCAAGCGUCUAAGCUUGGGGAUGCCCCGGAAGGCAUCCCCUCUUUCUUCAACAAGUAUCGGUAUGUUUUCGGAUUUGUUUCGUUCAUGCGAUAUGUGCAAUCUUGGAGCGUCUUUUGCAUUUAGUUUUCAUUUUUCUUUUAUGCACCAUGCUGGUAUGAGAUAGUCCUUGGUUGAUUUAUAGAAUGCUCUAUGCACUUCACUUGUAUCUUUUGAGUAUGGCUUUUAUAGAAUGCUUCGUGUGCUUCACUUAUAUCAUUUGAAGUUUGGAUUGCAUGUUUCUCUUCACUUAGACAACCGCCAUUUGUAGAAUGCUCUUUUGCUUCACUUAUAUUUGUUAGAGUGUGGGCAUAUCUUUUGUAGAAAGAACUAAACUCUCUUGCUUCACUUAUAUCUAUUUAGAGAGAUGACAGGAAUUGGUCAUUCACAUGGUUAGUCAUAAAAUCCUACAUAAGACUUGUAGAUCACUGAAUAUGAUAUGUUUGAUUCCUUGCAAUAGUUUUGCGAUAUAAAGAUGGUGAUAUUAGAGUCAUGCUAGUGGGUAGUUCUGGAUUAGUAGAAAUACUUGUGUUGAGGUUUGUGAUUCCCGUAGCAUGCACGUAUGGUGAACCAUUAUGUAACGAAGUCGGAGCAUGAGUUAUUUAUUGAUUGUCUUCCUUAUGAGUGGCGGCCGGGGACGAGCGAUGGUCUUUUCCUACCAAUCUAUCCCCCUAGGAGCAUGCGCGUAGUACUUUGUUUCGAUGACUAAUAGAUUUUUGCAAUAAGUAUGUGAGUUCUUUAUGACUAAUGUUGAGUCCAUGGAUUAUACGCACUCUCACCCUUCCAUCAUUGCUAGCCUCUCUAGUAUCGCGCAACUUUCGCCGGUACCAUAAACCCACCAUAUACCUUCCUCAAAACAGCCACCAUACCUACCUAUCAUGGCAUUUCCAUAGCCAUUCUGAGAUAUAUUGCCAUGCAACUUCCAUCAUCAUCAUAUACAUGACUUGAGCAUUCAUUGUCAUAUUGCUUUGCACGAUCGUAAGAUAGCCAGCAUGAUGUUUUCAUGGCUUGUCCGUUUUUUUGAUGUCAUUGCUACGCUAGAUCAUUACACAUCCCGAUACACCGCCAGAGGCAUUCAUAUAGAGUCAUAUCUUUGUUCUAGUAUUGAGUUGUAAUAUUGAGUUGUAAGUAAAUAAAAGUGUGAUGAUCAUCAUUAUUAGAGCAUUGCCCCAGUGAGGAAAGGAUGAUGGAGACUAUGAUUCCCCCACAAGUCGGGACGAGACUCCAGACGAAAAAAAAGAGAAAUGCCAAAAAAAAGAAGGCCAAAAAAAAUAAAAAAAAUGAGAGAAAAAGAGAGAAGGGGCAAUGUUACUAUCCUUUUACCACACUUGUGCUUCAAAGUAGCACCAUGUUCUUCAUAUAGAGAAUCUCUUGACUUAUCACUUUCAUAUACUAGUGGGAAUUUUCAUUAUAGAACUUGGCUUGUAUAUUCCGAUGAUGGGCUUCCUCAAAUGCCCGAGGUCUUCAUGAGCAAGCAAGUUGGAUGGACACCCACUUAGUUUCAAUCUGAGCUUUCAUACACUUAUAGCUCUUAGUGCAUCCGUUGCAUGGCAAUCCCUACUCACUCACAUUGAUAUCUAUUGAUGGGCAUCUCCAUAGCCCGUUGAUACGCCUAGUUGAUGUGAGACUAUCUUCUCCUUUUUUGUCUUCUCCACAACCACCACUCUAUUCCACCUAUAGUGCUAUGUCCAUGGCUCACGCUCAUGUAUUGCGUGAAAGUUGAAAAGGUUUGAGAACGCCAAAAGUAUGAAACAAUUGUUUGGCUUGUCAUCAGGGUUGUGCAUAAUGUGAAUAUUUUGUGUGGUGAAGAUGGAGCAUAGCCAGACUAUAUGAUUUUGUAGGGAUAACUUUCUUUGGCCAUGCUAUUUUGAAAAGACAUGAUUGCUUUAUUAGUAGGCUUGAAGUAUUAUUGUUUUUAUGUCAAAUGAUAGACUAUUGCUUUGAAUCGCUCGUGUCUUAAAUAUUCAUGCCAUGAUUAGAUAUGUGAUCAAGAUUAUGCUAGGUAGCAUUCCACAUCAAAAAUUAUCUUUUUUAUCAUUUACCUACUCGAGGACGAGCAGGAAUUAAGCUUGGGGAUGUUGAUACGUCUCCAUCGUAUCUAUAAUUUUUGAUUGUUCCAUGCCAAUAUUCUACAACUUUCAUAUACUUUUGGCAACUUUUUAUACUAUUUUUGGGACUAACAUAUUGAUCCAGUGCCCAGUGCCAGUUCCUGUUUGUUGCAUGUUUUUUGAUUCAUAGAAUAUCCAUAUCAAACGGAGUCCAAAUGAAAUAAAAACUGACGGAGAUUUUUUGGAAUAUAGAUGAUUUUUGGGAAGAAAAAUCCACGCGAGACAAUGCUCGAGGGGGCCACGAGGCAGGGGGGCGCCCCUGACCCUCGUGGCCACCCCGUAAGGUGGUUGAUGCCCUUCUUUCGCCCCAAGAAAGCUAAUAUCCGGAUAGAGAUCGUGUUAAAAUUUCAGCCCAACCGGAGUUACGGAUCUCCGGGAAUAUAAGAAACGGUGAAAGGGUAGAAUCUGAGAACGCAGAAACAGAGAAAGACAGAGAGACAGAUCCAAUCCCGGAGGGGCCCUCGCCCCUCCCGUGCCAUGGAGGCCAUGGACCAGAGGGGAAACCCUUCUCCCAUCUAGGGAGGAGGUCGAGGAAGAAUAAGAAGGAGGGGGGCUCUCUCCCCCUCGCUUCCGGUGGCGCUGGAGUGCCACCGGGGGCCAUCAUCAUCACCGCAAUCUUUACCAACAACUUCACCGCCAUCAUCACCAACUCUUCCCCCCUCUAUGCAGCGGUGUAACCUAUCUCUUACCCGCUGUAAUCUCUACUUAAACAUGGUGCUCAACGCUAUAUAUUAUUUCCCAAUGAUGUAUGGCUAUCCUAUGAUGUUUGAGUAAAUCCGUUUUGUCCUAUGGGCUGUUUGAUGAUCAAGAUUGGUUUGAAUUGCAUGUUUUAUUAUUGGUGCUGUCCUGUGGUGCUCUCCGUGUUGCGCAAGCAUGAGGGAUCCCCGCUGUAGGGUGCUGCAUUCAUGAUUCGCUUAUAGUGGGUUGCGUGAGUGACUGAAACACAAACCCGAGUAAGGGGGUUGUUGCGUAUGGGAUAAAGAGGACUUGAUACUUUAAUGCUAUGGUUGGGUUUUACCUUAAUGAUCUUUAGUAGUUGCGGAUGCUUGCUAGAGUUCCAAUCAUAAGUGCAUAUGAUCCAAGUAGAGAAAGUAUGUUAGCUUAUGCCUCUCCCUCAAAUAAAAUUGCAAUAAUGAUUACCGGUCUAGUUAUUGAUUGCCUAGGGACAAAUAACUUUCUCGUAACAAAAAGAUCUCUACUAAAACUAAUUUAGUUGUGUCUUUAUCUAAACAUCCCCUACUUUUUAUUUACAUGCUCUUUAUUACCUUGCAAACCUAUCCAACAAAACCUACAAAGUACUUCUAGUUUCAUACUUGUUCUAGGUAAAGCGAACAUCAAGUGUGCGUAGAGUUGUAUCGAUGGCCGAUAGAACUUGAGGGAAUAUUUGUUGUGCCUUUAGCUCCUUGUUGGGUUCGACACUCUUACUUAUUGAAAACGGUUGCGAUCCCCUAUACUUGUGGGUUAUCAAUCUCAGAUGCGACUUUGAAAUGUCGGCACGUCAUUAACUGGCCCCCAAUCCAGCCCCUUGUUGACCCAUGACGCCAGUUGUGGCGGGGGGGGGGGGCGAACGGAGGGCGGGGGCAGCUACCCACUUAGUACUUCGGGGAGCUGUGAUGUAAAACCACUCCCGCUGCCAUAAUUUGGACACCUCCAGAAAGAAACCCUUUGGCCAUGGAGCAUCGAUGCCUUUGCUUAUUGUGGCACCUCCGCAUUCUGCGUGUCACCCAUCGAUCAUCUUCGGCUUCACAUUGAAGGUCUUGAGCAAUAAGCUGAAGUGUGGGGUGAUGGGAGGAAGGCCUCACACACGACGAUAAACGACGAGAUGUGAAGGAUGGAAUCCAGGGCUAGAUCAUGGAAAUCGAGCCCGUAAUAGAACAUAAGCCCUCGGACAAAGGGAUCAAGACUAAAGCCUAGCCCUCGGAGGAAGUGGGAAACAAAUACGACACUCUCGUUGGGUUCGGGAGUGGGGAUGACCUGCCCUUGAGCAGGCAGCCUAUGCGAGAUUUCGGCGGUCAGAUACCUGGCUUCCCUUAGCUUCUUAAUGUUCGCCUCUGUGACAGAGGAAGCCAUCCACCGGCCUUGAAGGUUGGAUCUGGACAUGGUUGAAGGACCGAAGCACUUAGCCUGAGCCUUGGGUGUUGGAACGCGGGGUGGGGGAAGGGAAGGAUUGAGCACGAGAAGAAAAGGACAGGCCUUGGCCCCUUUAUAAAGAGGGCGAAUAUCAAGCGUCCUCCGCGUGCCCGUUUGGAACUUGCCUAAAAUCGAGGAGUCAUGUUAACCAGCACGGCUGGGUUACCCACGCCCGUAUUGAUGGGACUCCCGUGAUAAGGGGAACACGAUCUCUGCUUCGACAAGACGUGCCGAUAAAACCGCCUCGCAACUCAUGCAAUGGCAGGCAGGGAAAAACGGUUCGUAAUGACCGGGCGACGGCAGGACGUCACGUUAUGAAAAGUUGUUAGCAAAUUGGAUUUGUCGAAUAAUGUACUCUCUACAGUGGUAUGUGGAAUUUGCUUUGCAGAGCUGGACACUAUCCUUGUGUUCAAAAUCUUAUAUGGAGUAUUUGGAGAAGGAAUCCGCCUUGCAAUGCCGAGGACAAUCUGCGCGCCGGACUCAUCGUCAUUGAAGCCUGGUUCAGGGGCUACUGAGGGAGUCCUGGAUUAGGGGGUCCUCGGACGGCCGGACUAUAUCCUUUGGCCGGACUAUUGGAUUAUGAAGAUACAAGAUUGAAGACUUCAUUCCGUGUCCGGGUGGGACUCUCCUUUGGGUGGAAGGCAAGCUUGGCAAUUCGGAUAUGUAGAUCUCCUCCCUUGUAACCGACUCUGUGUAACCCUAGUCCCGCUCCGGUGUCUAUAUAAACCGGAGGGUUUAGUCCGUAGGACAACAACCAUCAUAAUCAUAGGCUAGCUUCUAGGGUUUAGCCUCUACGAUCUCGUGGUAGAUCAACUCUUGUAAUACUCAUAUCAUCAAGAUCAAUCAAGCAGGACGUAGGGUGUUACCUCCAUCGAGAGGGCCUGAACCUGGGUAAACAUUGUGUCCCCCGUCUCUUGUUACCAUCCGCCUUAGACGCACAGUUCGGGACCCCUACCCAAGAUCCGCCGGUUUUGACACCGACAGCUGCAUCUCGUGAUCCAGGCAUUGUGGAGGCCGCAGAAGAUCCCGGAUGGCCGACCGACUCAUCACGGGUGCAUGAUUGCAUGGGGCCGACCAGAUCAGCACCGGAUCCGGCUCCUGUCAGCCGUGGCUAAGCCCGCCGCUUGUAGCAGCGCGACUCGUCGGGGAAGCACGCGCCACGUUGGCCACUUGGGAGCUGCCAGUUGUGAGGUGACGAGCGGGGCGGAGCGGCCAUGGGGCCACCUCCAGCAGGCGCGGGACCACCUCCAGCUGUGGUCGGUUGCGUGGCGUGCGCGGGGUCGCUGGUGGUUGCACGGGCGUGCGAUGCUGCUGUCGGCUCUGACGCGUCAGCCCGCACCAAUCCCGGUGCAGAUUGCCUGCGUUGUUGCUCCUGCAGCGAUCCCGAGGUGGAUCCGGCGAGUUCCAAGGCAGAUUUGCCCCCCAUGUCACGACACAUGAAAUAUGGCAUGGGGGAAGUGAUUUGUGCAUCAUUUUCUUCUCUGUUUUCACUGCUGUUUUCUCCUGCAACAUCACAAAGCUGAUGGGUACGGUUAAGAGGUUAGUCAUUGUUUGAUCAGCACAAUUAUUUUCUCCCCCGUGAUCAAUGCCGGAUAGGUGAGAUGGCAAAAGAAGGAUUUCUUUGCGGAGUAAGGCGCCGGCAUUUGGAUGAAGAUCAGCAAAAGGAAAUUUUGUUUCAUUAAAGAUCACAUCGCGAGAAAUAUAGACACGGUCAGUGGAGAUGUCAAGGCACUUGACACCUUUGUGAAGUGGACUAUACCCAAGAAAAGCACAUCGCUUUGAGCGGAACAUGAGUUUGCGAUUGUUGUAUGGGCGAAUAUUAGGCCAACAGGCACACCCAAACACACGAAGUGAUUUGUAGUCGGGUUUAACAUGAAGUAGCCUUUCUGUUGGAGUUUCAUUAUUAAUGACACGACUAGGAAGCAUGUUGAUAAUGUGGACAGCCGUGAGAAAGGCUUCGUCCCAAAAUUUAAGAGGCAUAGAGGCGUCGGCUAAGAGAGCUAGUCCUACCUCCACAAUGUGUCUGUGCUUACGUUCUGCCGAACCGUUUUGUUGGUAAGCGUGGGGACAGGACACGUGAUGAGAGAUGCCAAGGUUUUGGAAGAAAGUCCUUGCCGUGGUACUUCUCCCGCGUGGUCACCUUCUCAAGCUCGCUGGUGAUGUGUUCGGUGGCGCCACUGUCGACGUACCAGUUGGUGUCAACGCCGUAGGAGCCGUCCGCAGAAGCAGCCACCUUGUCCUCAUCCUGGGAGUCUUCAUCGUCCUCGUCAUAGCGGUACCAGCAGUCUCGGGCGGUGUGCCCGAGCUUGCCACAGAUCUGGCAGCGUGGCGCAUCAGGGCACACUCGGUUGGAGCCAUGGCCACCACCGCCGCCGUGUCCCUUGGAGUUGGUGGAGGAGGAAUGGUCGGUCCGAGGAGUGUUGGUGUUGGAGGAGUUGCUGCCACCUGAGCGGUUCUUGCCACGUGGAGGUCCGCCAUGGCCACGAGAGGCAACAUUCGCAGAAGACUUGAAACCGCCCGAACCCUGAUAGAGUGCCAUGCGCUAAUCAAAAUUGCUUAGCAUGGUGAACAACUCAUCUAGGGUGACGGGGGAGGUGCGGGCAUCCAGGGCCGACACCAGAGGCUGGUACUCCAUGUCCAGCGCGUGGAUGAUGUAGGAGACGAUCUCGUCGUCUUGCAGCGGCUUGCCGGCCGCGGCGAGUUCAUCAGCGAGGCCGCGCAUGUGGGCGAAGAAGGUGGCGACCGGCUGAGUUCCCUUCUGCGCAUGCAGCAAAGCCGUGUGUAUGUAGUUGACACGGCUAAGCGACUGCGAGGAGAACAUGGCCGCCAAAGUGGUCCAGAGCGCGUGCAUCGUGGUGAUCGCGGUCACCUGCACCAACACCUCUUUUGAGAUAUUAUUGAGCAGGUACCCGAGCACUUGUUGGUCCUACCGGACCCAGAUUGGUGGAGAGGGUUGGGCUCGGUGGAUUCCUUGCCGUCCUUGUCCUUGCCAGGAAGGAAGCGGGCUGGCUCCGGCGUGCUGCCUGAUGACCCACAAGUAUAGGGGAUCUAUCAUAGUUCUUUCGAUAAGUAAGAGUGUCGAACCCAAUGAGGAGCAGAAGGAAAUGAUAAGCGGUUUUCAGCAAGGUAUUCUCUGCAAGUACUGAAAUAAGUGGUAACAGAUAGUUUUGUGAAGGGAUAAAUUGUAACGAGCAACAAGUAACAAAAGUAAAUAAAGUGCAGCAAGGUGGCCCAAUCCUUUUGUAGCAAAGGACAAGCCGGAACAAACUCUUAUAAUAGGAAAAGCGCUCCCAAGGACACAUGGGAAUAUCGCCAAGCUAGUUUUCAUCACGUUCAUAUGAUUCGCGUUCGAUACUUUGAUAAUUUGAUAUGUGGGUGGACCGGUGCUUGGGUGUUGUUCUUACUUGAACAAGCAUCCCACUUAUGAUUAACCUCUGUUGCAAGCAUCCGCAACUACAACAAAAGUAUUAAGGUAAACCUAACCAUAGCAUGAAACAUGUGGAUCCAAAUCAGCCCCUUACGAAGCAACACAUAAACUACGGUUUAAGCUUCUGUCACUCUAGCAACCCAUCAUCUACUUAUUACUUCCCAAUGCCUUCCUCUAGGCCCAAAUAAUGGUGAAGUGUUAUGUAGUCGACGUUCACAUAACACCACUAGAGGCUAGACAACAUACAUCUUAUCAAAAUAUCAAACGAAUACCAAAUUCACAUGACUACUCAUAGAAAGACUUCUCCCUUGUCCUCAGGAACGAACGUAAUUACUCACAAAGCAUAUUCAUGUUCAUAAUCAGAGGGGUAAUAAAAUGCAUAUAGGAUCUAAACAUAUGAUCUUCCACCAAUUAAACCAACUAGCAUCAACUACAAGGAGUAAUCAACACUACUAGCAACCUACUAGCACCAAUCCCGGACUUUGAGACAAGAAUUGGAUACAAGAGAUGAACUAGGGUUUGGAGAUGAGAUGGUGCCGAUGAAGAUGUUGAUGGAGAUUGCCCUCUCCUGAUGAGAGGAGCGUUGGUGAUGACAAUGGUGAUGAUUUCCCCCUCCCAGAGGGAAGUAUCCCCGGCAAAACAGCUCUGCCGGAGCUAUAGAUUGGAUCCGCCAAGGUUCUGCCUCGUGGCGGCGGAGUCUCGUCCUGAAAAGUUCCUCCUCAUUUUUCUCUCAUUGAAAUACCUCAUAUAGGAGAAGAUGGGCAUCGGAGAGCCACCAGGGGGGCCACGAGGUAGGGGGCGCGCCCUAGGGGGGCGCCCCCCACCCUCGUGAGAAGGGUGUGGGCCCCCUGGCCUUCAUCUUUGGCGUGGAUUUUUCUUUAUUUCUUUUAAGACGUUCCGUGGAGUUUCAGGACUUUUGGAGUUGCGCAGAAUAGGUCUCUAAUAUUUGCUCCUUUUCCAGACCAGAAUUCCAGCUGCCGGCAUUCUCCCUCUUUAUGUAAACCUUGUAAAAUAAGAGAAAAUAGCCAUAAGUAUUGUGACAUAAAGUGAAAUAACAGUCCAUAAUGCGAUAAAUAUCGAUAUAAAAGCAUGAUGCAGAAUGGAUGUAUCAACUCCCCCAAGCUUAGACCUCGCUUGUCCUCAAGCGAAAAGCCGAUAACAAUAAAUAUGUCGUCAUGUUUAGAGGUAGAGGCGUCGAUAAAAAUAAAAUACGGACAUGAAGGCAUCAUGAUUAUUCUCAUAAGAGCAACAUAUAUAGAUUUGGUUAUAUGAUUACUUAUGUUCAAGUGAUGAUCUAUUCACAAUGCAAAAGUAUAAAUCAUAACCCUUAUUGGGCUCCGACAAACUAUAAUCUCAGUCAUUGAAGCAAUUGCAAUUUAUCGUAACAUCGGAAAGAGUCUAUGUCAGAGCUAAAAAGCAAGUCCACAUACUCAAUUAUCAUUUAGUCCUCCAUAAUUGCUAACACUCACGUGAUACUUGUGGUUACAGAGUUUUAAUCGGACACAGAGAAAGAUAGGGGCUUAUAGUUUUGCCCCACAACCUUUUACCUCAAGGGUAAUAUCAACAAUAAUGGUUCAUGCUCUCCUACAUCCAAUUACAUAUAUAUAUCAUGUUCUUUCCAACAUGCUGAGCUUGCCAAAGGAUAAAAUGAAAAAGAAAAGGUGAACAUCACCAUGACUCUUGCAUAAGGUAGAAGAUAAUAAUAAAGGAUAGGCCCUUCACAAAGGGAAGUAGAGGUUGCCAUGCGCUUUUAUGGUUGGAUAUAUAAAAUCUCAAUGCGAAAGAAAGUCACUUUAUAUUGCCCCUUGUUAUAUGAACCUUUACUAUGCAGUCCGUCGCUUUUAUUACUUCCACAUCACAAGAUCGUAUAAAGCUUAUUUCUCCCACACCAAUCAAUCAUACAUAUUUAGAGCAAUUUUUAUUGCUUUGCACCGAUGACAACUUACUUGAAGGAUCUUACUCAAUCCAUAGGUAGAUAUGGUGGACUCUCAUGGCAAAAUCGGUUUAAGGAUAUUUGGAAGCACAAGUAGUAUUUCUACUUGGUGCUGAGAAUUUGGCUAGCAUGAGGGGGAAAGGCAAGCUCAACAAGUUAGAGGAUCCAUGACAACAUACUUUAUCUCAGAUAUAAGAAAGACAUGACUCAUUACGUCGUCUUCCUUGUCCAACAUCAACUCUUUAGCAUGUCAUAUUUUAAUGAGUACUCUCAAUCAUAAAAGAUGUCAAUGAUAAUAUAUCUAUAUGUGAAACCUCUCUUUCCUUAUUACUUCCUAUUAAUUGCAACAAUGACCAAAGUUAUGUCUGCCAACUCCCAACAACUUUUAAUCAUCAUACUCUUUCUAUGUGAAGUCAUUACUCUCAAUAAGAUCAAUAUGAAUUUUUUGUUUCUUUUUAUUCUUUUUCUCUUUUCUUUUAUUUACCCAAGAUCAUGGCAAAAUAAUCAAGCCCUUGACUCAACACUAAUCUUUAUUAUAAAUAGUUCAUGGACUCGAUUACAUAGAGAGAUCAUAAAGCAAAACUCAAAACUUGAUCAUGGCAUAAACUUUAUUCUACUGGAUCAAGAUACUACUAAUAGGAUCGAACUAAGAAAAAUGGUAAAAAUAGGAGUUGUGAUUGUGAUACGAUACCGGGGCAUCUCCCCCAAGCUUGGCAGUUGCCAAGGGGAGUGCCCAUACCCAUGUGAUUAUAUCUCCUUUGUCGGUGAAGAAGGUGGUGGUGACGGAUAAUCGCACAUCGAGCGUAAGAGGUCCUCCAGCUUGCGAAUAAUGCCCUUGAGUGCAACAAUAUGCUCCUUUAACAAAAUAUUUUCUUGUGUGAGAUACUUGUUUUAUAUACGAGCUAACUCAAUCAUCUUGAAAGCUUCAAUCUCAGUUGGGGUAAGAAGGUUAUGAUCAAUUUGAAGGGUGUCUUUUGCUGCUGGGGCUUGAUCCUCCGUGGCCUUCUUGAUCCUUUCAUCCUUGUUGACCUUCGUGGGUUCUUCCCUCUUCAGAUCUAUCUUCAUUAGCCAAGCAUCAUUGUCACCAUUGUUGGAGGAGGGAGACGACAUGAUGCUUAGUCUAGAAAACCCUGAUAGAAAACAGCUCGAAACGAAAACAGAGGAGGUUUGCGUGAUACGGGAGUCAAAACCUUCGGGAGAAUAUAUAAUGAAUUUUUACCGACCAAAAUACGUAAUGUGCAAGAAAACGGAGUCCGGAAAGCACUCGAGGUGCUCACGAGGUAGGGGGCGCACCCACCACCCUCGUGUCCUUCCCGGACUGCUACUUAUUUUUCUAUUUUUCUAAAUAUUCCAAAACGGAGAAAUGUUGCCUUAAAAAUUGUUUUGGAGUCGGUUUACUUACCGUAUCACAUACCUAUUCCUUUUCGGAGUCUGAAAUGUUCCGGAAAGUGUCCCUUAUGUAUUCCUCCGGGGUUACGGUUUCAAUAAUAUUGGUUUCAACAUUUAUGGGAUUACCUGAGAUAUAAUGUUUGAUUCUUUGACCGUUUACCACCUUCGGAUUUGUGCCCUCGAAGUUGUUGAUUUUUAUGGCACCAGAAUGAUAGACCUCUUCGAUAACAUAGGGGCCUUCCCAUUUAGAGAGAAGUUUCCCUGCAAAAAAUCUUAAAGGAGAGUUGUAUAGCAAUACAUAAUCACCUACAUUAAACUCACGCUUUUGUAUCCUUUUGUCAUGCCAUCUUGUAACUUUUUCUUUAAACAACUUGGCAUUUUCAUAAGCUUGGGUUCUCCAUUCAUCAAGUGAGCUAAUAUCAAAUAACCUCUUUUCACCGGCAAGUUUAAAAUCAUAGUUAAGCUCUUUAAUAGCCCAAUAUGCCUUAUGUUCUAGUUCUAGAGGUAAGUGACAUGCUUUUCCAUAGACAUUUUAUACGGAGACAUACCCAUAGGAUUUUUGUAUGCGGUUCUAUAAGCCCAUAACGCAUCAUCAAGUUUCUUAGACCAAUUCUUUCUAGACCUAUUAACAGUCUUUUGCAAAAUUAAUUUGAGCUCUCUAUUGCUCAACUCUACUUGACCACUAGACUGAGGGUGAUAAGGAGAUGCAAUUCUAUGAUUAACAUCAUAUUUAGCAAGCAUUUUACGGAAAGCACCAUGAAUAAAGUGUGAACCACCAUCAGUCAUUAAAUAUCUAGGGACUCCAAACCUCGGAAAAAUAACUUCCUUAAGCAUUUUAAUAGAAGUGUUAUGAUCAGCACUACUAGUUGGAAUAGCUUCUACCCACUUAGUAACAUAAUCAACAGCAACUAGAAUAUGUGUGUAUCCAUUAGAGGCAGGAAAAGGUCUCAUAUAAUCAAAGCCCCAAACAUCAAAUGGUUCAAUAACAAGUGAAUAAUUCAUAGGCAUUUCUUGAUGUCUACUAAUAUUACCAAUUCUUUGACAUUCAUCACAAGACAAGACAAACUUACGAGCAUCCUUGAAGAGAGUAGGCCAAUAAAAACCAGAUUGCAAUACCUUAUGUGCAGUUCUAUCUCCAGCGUAGUGUCCUCCAUAAGACUCAGAGUGACACUUGUGUAGGAUCUGUUCCUGUUCAUGCUCAGGUACACAACGUCUAAUAACACCAUCUACCCCUUCUUUAUAAAGAUGUGGGUCAUCCCAAAAGUAAUGUCUUAAAUCAUAGAAGAACUUUUUCUUUUGUUGGUACGUGAAGCUAGGUGGUAUAAAUUUAGCAACAAUAUAAUUAGCAUAAUCAGCAUACCAUGGAGUACUACGAGAAGUACUUAUAACAUUUAAUUGUUCAUCAGGAAAGUUAUCAUUAAUAGGUAGUGGGUCACCAAGAAUAUUUUCUAACCUAGACAGGUUGUCUGCAACGGGGUUCUCAGCUCCCUUUAUAUCAACAAUAUGCAAAUCAAAUUCUUGUAGCAAGAGGACCCAUCUAAUAAGUCUAGGUUUAGCAUCUUUCUUUUCCAUAGGAUAUUUAAUAGCAACAUGAUCUGUUUGAAUAGUUACUUUAGAAUCAACAAUAUAAGAUCUGAACUUAUCACAAGCAAAUACAACUGCUAAAAGUUCUUUUUCAGUAGUAGCAUAAUUUAUUUGAGCAUUGUCUAGAGUCUUACUAGCAUAAUGAAUAACAUUUAAUUUCUUAUCAACUCUUUGCCCUAGAACAGCACCUACAGCAUAAUCACUAGCAUCACACAUAAUUUCAAAGGGUAGGUUCCAAUCAGGUGGCUGAACAACAGGUGAAGUGACUAAUACUUUCUUAAGUAUUUCAAAUGCUUCUACACAAUCAUCAUCAAAGACAAAUGGUAUAUCUUUUUGCAAUAAAUUAGUCAGAGGCCGAGAAAUUUUUUAGAAGUCCUUAAUGAACCUCCUAUAAAAUCCAGCGUGACCAAGGAAACUUCUUAUACCUUUGAUGUCCUUGGGACAUGGCAUCUUUUCAAUAGCAUCAACCUUGGCUUUAUCAACUUCAAUACCUCUUUCAGAAACUUUGUGCCCCAAGACAAUACCUUCAUUAACCAUAAAGUGGCACUUUUCCCAAUUCAAGACAAGAUUAGUUUCUUCACAUCUCUGCAAAACUCGAUCAAGAUUGCUCAAUAAAUCAUCAAAAGAGGAACCAUAAACGGAAAAGUCGUCCAUGAAAACCUCACAAUUCUUUUCACAAAAGUCAGAGAAUAUAGCCAUCAUGCAUCUUUGAAAGGUAGCAGGUGCAUUACAUAAACCAAAAGGCAUAUGUCUAUAAGCAAAAGUACCAAAAGGGCAUGUAAAAGUAGUCUUUGAAUGAUCUCUAGCCGACACAAGUAUUUGAGAGAAACCAGAAUAACCAUCUAGAAAGCAAUAGUGUGUAUGUUUGCAUAAUCUUUCUAGCAUUUGAUCAAUAAAAGGUAAGGGGUAAUGAUCUUUCUUAGUAGCUUUAUUUAAUUUGCGGAAAUCAAUUACCAUCCUAUAACCUGUGAUAAUUCUUUGUGGAACCAAUUCAUCUUUAUCAUUAGGAACAACAGUAAUACCUCCCUUCUUAGGGACACAAUGGACAUGACUUACCCACUCACUAUCAGCAACGGGAUAGAUUAUACCUGCCUCCAGAAGCUUUAGUAUUUCUUUUCUUACUACUUCUUUCAUUUUAGGAUUCAGACGGCGUUGAGGAUCACGAACUGGUUUGGCAUCUGCUUCCAAAUUUAUUUUAUGUUGACAUAGAGUGGGACUAAUGCCCUUAAGAUCAUCAAGAGUAUAUCCAAUAGCAGCACGAUGCUUCUUUAGAGUUUUCAAUAAUCUUUCUUCUUCAUGCUCUGAAAGGUUAGCACUAAUAAUAACAGGAUAUAUCUUCUUUUCAUCAAGAUAAGCAUAUUUAAGAUUAUCAGGCAACGGUUUAAGCUCAAACACGGGAUCACCCUUGGGUGGAGGAGGAUCCCCUAAAAUUUCAACAGGCAAGUUGUGAUGCAAAAUAGGUUCCUGUUUAAAGAAUACUUCAUCUAUUUCCCUUCUUUCAUUCAUUAACAUAUCAUUUUCAUGGUCUAGCAAAUAAUGUUCUAAAGGAUCACUAGGAGGUACGGCAAUAGAAGCAAGACCAAUAAUUUCAUCCUUACUAGGUAAUUCUUCCUCAUGAUGUUGUUUACUAAAUUUAGAGAAAUUAAACUCAUGAACCAUAUCAUCCAAACCAAUAGUAACAAUAUUCUUAGUGCAGUCUAUGGUAGCAUUGACAGUGUUUAAGAAAGUUCUACCAAAUAUAAUUGGACAAAAGCUAUCUUGCGGAGAAGUAAGAACAAGAAAAUCAGCAGGAUAUUUAGUUUUCCCACACAAGACUUCAAUAUCUCUAACAAUUCCAAUUGGUGCAAUAGUAUCUCUAUUAGCAAGUUUAAUAGUGACAUCAAUAUCUUCUAACUCAACAGGUGCAAUUUCAUUCUUAAUUUCUUUGUAUAAGUCAUGAGGUAUAACACUAGCACUAGCACCCAUAUCACAUAAGCCAUGAUAACAAUGAUCUCCUAUUUUAACAGAAAUAACAGGCACGCCUACCACAGGUCUAUGUUUACCUUUAUCACAAGGUUUAGCAAUUCUAGCAGUUUCACCUUCGAACUGAAUAACAUGCCCAUCAAUAUUAUCAUACAAGAGAUCUUAAAUAAUAGCAAUAUUAGGUUCUACUUUAACUUGCUCAGGAGGUGUAUAAGUUCUAAUAUUGCUUUUAUGAACAACAGUUGAAACUUUAGCAUGAUCCUUUAUUCUAACAGGGAAAGGUGGUUUCUCAAUAUAAGAAGUAGGAACAAUAGGAUCAUUAUAAGUGACAGUCUUUUCUUCAACUUUAAUAGGUGCAGCUACUUUUACUUCUAUGGGAGGAUGAUAUUUAAACCACUUCUCCUUAGAGAGAUCAACAUAAGUAGCAAAAGAUUCACAGAAAGAAGCUACUAUCUCAGAGUCAAGUCCAUAUUUAGUGCUAAACUUACGGAAAAUAUCGGUAUCCAUAAAAGAUUUAACACAACCAAACUUAGGUGUCAUACCUGACUCCUUACCUUCGUCGAUGUCCCAAUUUUCAGAGUUGCAUUUAAUUCUAUCCAAUAAAUUCCAUCUGAAUUCAAUAGUCUUCAUCAUAAAAGAGCCAGCACAAGAAGUAUCGAGCAUGGUGCGAUUGUUUUCAGAAAGCCGAGCAUAAAAACUUUGCAUAAUUAUUUCUCUUAAGAGCUCAUGAUUGGGGCAUGAAUAUAACAUUGAUUUAAGCCUCCCCCAAGCUUGAGUGAUGCUUUCUCCUUCACGAGGCUAGAAAUUAUAUAUAUAAUUGCGAUCACGAUGAACAAGAUGCAUAGAGUAAUACUUUUGAUGAAAUUCCAGCUUCAAUCUUUUAUAGUCCCACGAUCUCAUAUCAUCACAUAGCCUAUACCAUAUCAAUGUGUCUCCCUUCAAAGAUAAAGGGAAGACCUUCUUCUAAGCAACAUCAUCGGGUAUACCUGCAAGCUUAAAUAAUCCACAAACUUCAUCCACAUAUAUUAAGUGCUCAUCAGGAUGCUUUGUUCCAUCUCCUGUAAAAGGAUUAGCUAGCAGUUUUUCUAUCAUACCCGAAGGAUACUCAUACGGAAUUUCAUUUUCAAUAGGUUCAGUAGGUUGAGGAGCAACUCUUUGCUCUACUGGACGGGGUGAAGAUACCCCGAACAAGCCCCUCAGAGAAUUACUUUCCAUAGUAACAAGUGACAGUAAAUUUCAGCACACUAUAUAAAAUUUUCCUUACCAAAUUCCACCUACCAAAGGCGCUACACUCCCCGGCAACGGCGCCAGAAAAGAGUCUUGAUGAUCCACAAGUAUAGGGGAUCUAUCUUAGUCCUUUCGAUAAGUAAGAGUGUCGAACCCAAUGAGGAGCAGAAGGAAAUGAUAAGCGGUUUUCAGCAAGGUAUUCUCUGCAAGUACUGAAAUAAGUGGUAACAGAUAGUUUUGUGAAGGGAUAAAUUGUAACGAGCAACAAGUAACAAAAGUAAAUAAAGUGCAGCAAGGUGGCCCAAUCCUUUUGUAGAAAAGGACAAGCCGGAACAAACUCUUAUAAUAGGAAAAGCGCUCCCGAGGACACAUAGGAAUAUCGUCAAGCUAGUUUUCAUCACGUUCAUAUGAUUCGUGUUCGAUACUUUGAUAAUUUGAUAUGUGGGUGGACCGGUUCUUGGGUGCUGUUCUUACUUCAACAAGCAUCCCACUUAUGAUUAACCUCUAUUGCAAACAUCCGCAACUACAACAAAAGUAUUAAGGUAAACCUAACCAUAGCAUGAAACAUGUGGAUCCAAAUCAGCCCCUUACGAAGCAACGCAUAAACUAGGGUUUAAGAUUCUGUCACUCUAGCAACCCAUCAUCUACUUAUUACUUUCCAAUGCCUUCCUCUAGGCCCAAAUAAUGGUGAAGUGUUAUGUAGUCGACGUUCACAUAACACCACUAGAGGCUAGACAACAUACAUCUUAUCAAAAUAUCAAACAAAUACCAAAUUCACAUGACUACUCAUAGCAAGACUUCUCCCUUGUCCUCAGGAACGAACGUAAUUACUCACAAAGCAUAUUCAUGUUCAUAAUCAGAGGGGUAAUAAUAUGCAUAUUGGAUCUGAACAUAUGAUCUUCCACCAAUUAAACCAACUAGCAUCAACUACAAGGAGUAAUCAACACUACUAGCAACCUACUAGCACCAAUCCCGGACUUUGAGACAAGAAUUGGAUACAAGAGAUGAACUAGGGUUUGGAGAUGAGAUGGUGUUGGUGAAGAUUUUGAUGGAGAUUGCCCUCUCCCGAUGAGAGGAGCGUUGGUGAUGACGAUGGUGAUGAUUUCCCCCUCCCGGAGGGAAGUAUCCCCGGCAGAACAGCUCUGCCAGAGCUCUAGAUUGGAUCCGCCAAGGUUCCGCCUCGUGGCGGCGGAGUCUCGUCCUGAAAAGUUCCUCCUCAUUUUUUUCUCAUCGAAAGACCUCAUGUAGGAGAAGAUGGGCAUCGGAGAGCCACCAGGGGGCCCACGAGGUAGGGGGCGCGCCCUAGGGGGGGCGCGCCCCCCACCCUCGUGAGAAGGGUGUGGGCCCCCUGGCCUUCAUAUUUGGCGUGGAUUUUUCUUUAUUUCUUUUAAGACGUUCCGUGGAGUUUCAGGACUUUUGGAGUUGCGCAGAAUAGGUCUCUAAUAUUUGCUCCUUUUCCAGACCAGAAUUCCAGCUGCCGGCAUUCUCCCUCUUUAUGUAAACCUUGUAAAAUAAGAGAAAAUAGCCAUAAGUAUUGUGACAUAAAGUGAAAUAACAGUCCAUAAUGUGAUAAAUAUCAAUAUAAAAGCAUGAUGCAGAAUGGACGUAUCGCUGCCAUCGGCAUAGCUGAAGACGCCUGCUCCCCUUAGCUGCCGCAUGAUCUGGACGCACCACAGUACAUAGUUCGUAUGGGUGAGCUUCUCCGUGACCUGACUGUUGAGGUCGGUCUGGGAGGAGCCGGAGGAAGACAUGCUAAGCACUAAUGGAGAUUGGAGAAACUAGAUGUAUUGGAAGAAGGAUGCUCUGAUUACCAUGUGCGAUAGGCGGAAAGCGUCUUACCCUCGUAUGAGGGGGCGCCAUGCAUGUUUAUAGGCAGGGGCGCACAUCCCUGAUAGCGCAUACAAGUUGUUGACAUUACAUGCUUGGAGGAGAAGGGAUAAGAGAGAAUAAAGAGAGUUCGGUUUACAAGAGAUAAGUAUCAUCUAUGCAACCGAAAGCACUUAAACACCUAUCUCUAUCUAUCCCUAUGUCACGUACAAUGUUGCGUUUAACAAUCUUGAAUCUUGGAUCUAACACGACAGGUAUUGACAGCCACACGUAUGAGUUUUGCUAAUACUCAUCGAACGCUUCAUGCAUCUCCAUGACCAGAGUCACAAUCUCUAUGUGAUCGUUUGAUGCUUCUUCUUGCAGAACUGUCCUCACUUUCCAUACCUUGCUGAAGUAUACAUUUGUUGUCGGAGAUCUAGGGCUAGAAAUUACUUCGAUAACCUUGGUUUCAUAUCUGAUGGAAAUACCUACCGUCGUUGUGCUGCAUCAUCCCUUUCUCUUUGGGGAAAUACCGACGUAGCUUCAAGCGACAUCAAUACGUCCAUUUUGCAUCAUGUUUACCUACUGUUAUUUAUAAUGUUUUUAUGCAUAAUAAUGCUUUUUGAAGUAAUUCUAAUGCCUUUUCUCUCAUAAUUUGCAAGGUUCACACAAAGAGGGAGCAUUUCGGCAGCUGGAAAUCUGGACCUGGAAAAGCUACAUCAGACCACCUAUUCUGCACAACUCCAAAUGGGUUGAAACUCCACGAGGAAUUUUUAUUGAACAAAUAAGAAAUACUGGAGAAAAUAACCACUGGAGGGGGGCCACCUGGUGAGCACAAGACACCAGGGCGUGCCUGGCCCCUCAGGUGCGUUCUGGUGGGUUGUGCUCAGCCCAGCCCACCUCCGGUGCCCAUCUUCUGGUAUAUAAGUCAUUUUGACCUAGAAAAAUAAAGGAGAGGGCUUUCGGGACGGAGCGCCGCUGUCUCGAGGCGGAACUUGGGCAGGAGCAUUUUUUCCCUCUGGCGGAGCGAUUUCACCGGGGGAACUUCCCUCCCGGAGGGGGAAAUCAUCGUCAUCAUCAUCACCAACAACUCUCCCAUCUUGAGGCGGGCAAUCUCCAUCAACAUCUUCAACAACACCAUCUCAUCUCAAAUCCUAGUUCAUCUCUUGUGUUCAAUCUUUGUACCGAAACUAUAGAUUGGUGCUUAUGGGUGACCAGUAUAGUGUUGAUUACAUCUUGUAGCUCAUUGCUAUAUGGUUUAUUUGGUGGAAGAUUAUAUGUUUAGAUCCAAUAAGCUAUUUAAUACCCCUCUGACUUGACCAUGGUGAUCAUUUGUGAGUAGUUACUUUUGUUCUUGAGGUCACGGGAGAAAUCUUGUUGCAAGUAAUCAUGUGAACUUGAUAUGUGUUCGAUAUUUUGAUAGUAUGUAUGUUGUGAUUCCCUUAGUGGUGUCAUGUGAAUGUCGACUACAUGACACUUCACCAUAUUUGGGCCUAAGGGAAUGCAUUGUGGAGUAGUAAUUAGAUGAUGGGUUGCGAGACUGACAGAAGAUUAAACCCUAGUUUAUGAGCUAUUCCGUAAGGGACCGAUUGGAUCCAAAAGUUUAAUGCUAUGGUUAGAAUUUAUUCUUAAUACUUUUCUCGUAGUUGUGGAUGCUUGCGAGGGGGUUAAUCAUAAGUAGGAGGUAUAUUCAAGUAAGAACAACACCUAAGCUCUGAUCCACCCACAUAUCAAAUUAUCAAAGUAGCGAAGACGAAUCGAACCAACAUGAUGAAAGUGACUAGAUGAAAUUCCCGUGUACCCUCAAGACCGCUUUGCUUAUUAUAAGAGACCGUUUUAGCCUAUCCUUUGCCUCAAAAGGAUUGGGCUACCUUGCUGCACUUUUGUUACUACUAUUUUUAUUUGCUCGUUACAAAUUAUCUCGCUAUCAAACUACUCUGUUACUUACAAUUUUAGCACUUGCAGACAUUACCUUGCUGAAGACCACUUGUCAUUUCAUUCUGCUCCUCGUUGGGUUCGACACUCUUAUUUAUCGAAAAGACUAAAAUUGAUCCCAUAUACUUGCGGGUCAUCAGUGGCGCCGACCCUUCGUCGGGGAUGCCGGCCAGGUGGUGGGUCCUUGUGGCGGCGCUGGUGGCGAUGGAUCUUGGGAUCCCGCUCCCGGUACGUUGCAGGAUGCGGCAGCCCGUGCACAUGAGAUUGAGUUUCUUCAAACAGAUCUGGAUGAAAACUUGCUUUCGGCUACUGCCAAGGCUGGCGGUGGCGGCGUUGUUUGCGGCAUUUCCUUCUUGAAGGCAUCGCCGUGGAGAAGCUCAAGGCCACUUUUUGCUACCACCGGAGCAAAUCGUAGACCAGUAGAUCGGAUGACAGCGGCGCUCUGGUGUUGUUUCCCCCUUGGGGGCGUCAUUCAUGGAGAUACACACGGGUUCGAGGGAAUAGAAGACGGCUUAUUUGGUGGAGCAGUGCUUCAUCUUACACAUUGAUGGCGGCGGAUCUCGUCGGUGUGGUGCUAUGGAGACUCGGAGUCCGAUGCGCGGAGAUGGACUCGCGCGGGAGGAUGUUGUCUAGGGUCAUGGUGACGUCGAUGGCAGAGAGGCCUAGCAAGGUCGGUGCAUUAGUUUCUGCUCUAAAGAUUGAUUGGUGGAAGAUGGUGGCGACGACACAGAGAGUGUGUCGGAUCAGUUUGUGCCCCAAACCCAGUAUGUGGCUUGGUUGGGGCCUCUGCCUUUAGAUGUUAGGCAUUUGUGCGAUGUCUGUUUGGUAUUAGGCUCGGACUAUCGGCACCCCUUCAUCAGGUGAAUAGAAGUAGCGACAGUUGUUGCUAAGAUGGUGGCUUCAGACUACAUAAUGUACUACUUUGUAAGAUCUUUGUGAAUAACUAAUAAAAUGGCUACAUGCAUCAUCCAGAUGCAGAGGCCGGGGAUAAUCCUUCUUUUCUAAAAAGAGAACUACUUGUACAUGCCGCAAGUAGUUUGAACCCACACAGGCAGACCAGUAAAUGUAGGAUGCAAAUGAUAUUAGUGGUGACCAUUUCUGACCGCACGCCGCUAGUUCAUAUAGUACAUACUAGUGUCGAGCCUUUGUAUUGAAUCGCUGCUGGUAGUUCUUGGCAUCAGAGCCCUCUUUGUGUAUCUUAGCAGCAACGUGUCAUUUUUUGGAACACUGCUAGUAAUAUGACAACAGUAAUGUGCUUUUUUAGCUAAACACUGCUUGUGUUUUGCCAAGUUUGCGACGGCAUGUCAUUUUUGCCAGACGUUGUUAUUACCAAAAUACUAUGAGACCUCCUUUCGUUCAUAGGAUAAGAAUGCUAUAGUAAUAUGAAAAUCAAAGGAAGUGAGAUGACAUGCAUCUCAAUUCUUAUAGAGAAAGACAUGUCAUUUGAUGCAUAGGAUAGGAAUUUUUCCAUUGAGUCUUCUAAUGUUUUUUCCUUCAAAAUGUGAAGGAUUGAUUCCUAUCCUAUAUAGGAAUAGGAAUCCAUUCCUACAAACCAAAGGGCUUGAAAGGAAAUUUUCCUUCGCAAAUCCUAUCAUAUAGAAAUUCUAUGAAAUUCCUAUGAACCAAAGAAGGCCUGAAGGGUUCCUGCACUAGUGGCUGACACUAAGGUAGGAGAGGAGGUCACAACCUUUGGCUCGUGGGAUUCGUUGGCGAGGCACACGCUAUUUAGAAGACGCAUAGUCGCAGUCGUGUGCGUCGUUGAUAAAGCCGACGUCACUACUACAGGGCCGCGCUUGGGGUUGUCAUGGCUGGCGAGCUCGGGGCGGGGCAACACACACCACCCAUGAUAUGACCAGUCUCAACUAUAGUCAGACCAACGACAACGACAAUGUACAAGCUGCCAACCAGAAUCAUGUUUUUGCAGCUCCAUUAGUCACUGUUGGUGAUAUCGUUGUACCGUCAUAUUUAGAAUCAAGCUUUGGCAAUGAACUAGUUAUCGCUACAUGUAUCCAUGUGGUUCGGCCAAGAAAGAUUGUUGUUGUUCGGCCAAAAGAGGAAGUGAUAUUUGUUGCGCCUAAGAACGCAAUGAGCGUGAGCAUGUAUAUUGAUUUUGGCUGCCUUGGUACACAUGCGCACGUGAAGAAUAUUGGUGAUUCAAACUACAGGAAGAGAUCGGAUCCAUUUAAAAAGUACAGGUCCAGGUUUAAGCUUUGCCUGCUGUUUUUAUUUCUUCCACGCAAGGAAUACCAGGCAGGUGAGGACGAGGAUCCUCUGCCGUUCGGCAGGGUGUCUUUCGACCACUGACUGAUGGACCCAUCGGGGAACAGGCCCACAUGGCAGCGCCACAACGGCAGGAGCCGCACGUUAGGGGAGCCGCUUCCGGCAGGUGAAAGGACGUGCUGCAUGUGGAGUCUCCUAUGCUUAAAAGAAAUCGGAUGGGGUCCACCAACAGAAGAAUAAAGCUGGCGGCCAUGUAACAAAUCUAGUAGUUUUUGUCUAGUUAAAUAGAUCACAAGUCGGUUAUCAUAUGCUUACGAUGUUUCCUUGUUUUUUAAGUGUACGUAACAAGCCUUGCUUCCCAAGAUAGUUAGGUGUGCGGCUAUUAUAUAAAGCCAAUCUAGUUCUUUGUAAGAGGAGAUUAUUUUUUAUGAAUAGACACAAUGUCUUUUUAGGGUAAAUACCCGUAUCGAGUUUUGGGGGAAACUGUCUAAAAAUCCUUAAGUUUUGGAGGAAGCUUUAGAAAACCUCUGUGUUGCGAUUUUUGUGUGAGGAAAUUGUUUUGCGCGUGAGUACCGUCGUCGAGAUUGGUUUUCUCGUGCUGAGCCACAAGGUUCAAACCCUUUAUUUCGUGUACAUCGCGUGCGCGGGCGAGAGGUUGCUACUGCUGAAGAAGAAGUGUCGUGAAAGAUCGGGCCGCAAUAACGGAUCAGACCUCACCUUAAGCUUUGGUCUACAUCAACCCACUUCCAUUCAGAAUUGCUCGUGCUUGCCAUAAAGAUGUCGUGCAGCGCCUUCAUCCUCGGGCACUCUUCAAUCAUGGCUCGCAUCAGAGUCAUGGUGAGGCCUCUUUUGGUUCAUAGGAUAGGAUUAUCAUAGGAAUAGGAAUUUUGUAGAAAAUGAGAUGGCAUGUAUCUCAAAUUCUAUGAGUAAGAAUAGGAAACGAGAUGGCAUUUGGUUGACACCAAAGAAAUUUUUCCACUGAGUCUAGGCUCAUUUUUAUUUUCCUAUGAAAUGUGAAGGAUAGGAACCAAUCCUAUGUAGGAAUAGGAAUCUAUUCCUAUGAACCAAAGGGCUCUAAAGGAAAAAAAUCCUAUAAAAUUCCUAUCCUCUAAAAUUCCUAUGAAAUUCCUCCAAACCAAAGGAGGCCUUUGUGGGAGAAAAAAAAUUAGGCCUCCUUUGGUUUGUAGGAAUUUUAUAGGAACUCUAUAGGAUGGGAUUUGCAAAGGAAAAAUUCCUUUGAAGUCAUUUGGUUUAUAGGAAUGGAUUUCUAUUCCUAUGUAGGUUAGAAAUCAAUCCUUCAUAUUUUGGAGGAAAAAAGACAUUAGCCUAGACUCAAUGAAAAAAUUCAUAUUCUAUGCACCAAAUAACAUCUCUUUCUCUAUAGGAAUUGAGAUGCAUGUCAUCUCACUUCCUAUGAUUUUCCUAUCCUAUGAACCAAAGGAGGUGAUCCUUUGGUUCAUAGGAAUAAAAAGUCACAGGAAAUAAGAUAACAUGUAUCUGAAAUCCUAUGAAUAGGAAUAGAAAAGAAGAUGUCCUUUGCUUCACAUUAUAGGAUUUUUACUAUUAAGGCCUCCUUUGGUUUACAGGAAUUUCAUAGGAUUUCUAUAGGAUAGGAUUUGCAAAGGAAAAGUUUCAUUUGAAGCCCUUUGGUUUGUAGGAAUGAAUUCCUAUUCAUAUGUAGGAUAGGAAUCAAUCCUUCACAUUUUGGAGGAAAAAAAACAUUAGCUAAUUGAGAUGCAUGUCAUUUCACUUUCUAUGAUUUUCCUAUUCCUGUAAAAUUCCUAUCCUAUGAACCAAAGAAGGCCUAGGCUAAUGUUUAUUUUUCUAUGAAAUGUGAAGGAUAGAAAAAAUUCCUCCAUAGGAAUAUGAUUCUAUUCCUACAAAUCAAAAGGAUCUAAAGAAAAUUUUCCUAUACAAAUCCUAUCUUAUAGGAUUCCUACAAAAUUUCUACAAACCAAAGAAGGCCUAGAAUACCAAAUGAUAGCACCCACUACUUCUAUGACAUGAAUCAAUCAUUGGUCGGGAUUACGAACAGGAAUCAUAGAGGAAUUCAUGGUUGAGAAAAGGAAUCUGGAGGUGGAAGAUGAACAGUAUGCACAGACGCUACAGGGUGCAGCUAUGUAUCCCUUAUAGCCACCACAAGCGCAAUGGCGCGUGCAGCGCUCCCUAAAUGGGCUGGACCAAGAGACGUAGCUGCGUUGGAUGCUACUUCGUUCGUUUCCUUUUGAUCGCUCAUUAUCUUUGAUUUAUUCUUUUCUUUCAUAAUUUUAUUCAUAUUCCCAAAUAUCCUAAAAUAAAAAUAUUUAUAUUUAAAAUGCUUAUGCAGUGUUUAGAAACUGUUUAUGCAGUACUUAAAAAAAGUUCAUGAAACUUUUAAGAAUGUCAUUGGCUGUAAACAAAAUGUACGUUAAAAAUGUUCACAAGUUUCCAAAAAAACGUGACAUAUUAAUAAAAUACUACGUACCAUUGAUAAAAUUAUAAAUAUGUGCACAUGUUUCAAAAAAUAUCUUCAAAAUUUUUAAAAUACUUAUGCAAUGUAGAAAAACAUUCUCCUAUUCUAAAAAAGGUUUGAUGGCACUAAAAAAAUUCAAUGUGCAUUUAAAAAAAACAUGUAUUGAAAAAAAUUUGAACAUAUGUAUUUUUUUAAAUGUACAUCAAUUAUUCAAAAAAUGAUCAACGUGUAUCAAAAACAUGUAUACGGAAAAUGUAGAAUGUGUAUUGAAGAAAGUACGCAUGUGUUGAUUAAAAGAAUAAAAAAAUAAAAAAAUAAAACCGAUGAAGAAACACAAAAAACGGGGAAACCCGAUGAAAGAAAUGUAGAUCCACCCGAAACAAGCAUGAAAAAACACGCAAAAAAGGUUCAAAACAAUCACAGAAACAAACAGGGAUAAAUAACCACGUGAAAAAACAUGGUCAAAAUUAACUACAGAAACAAACAUGGAAAAAACCACACGGAAAACCGAUCAAAAAUCUUUCCUAAAAACUGCUCCCCCAGACACCUAUUGGACAGGCCCAUCAGUGCUCGUCUCAUUGGUGGGCUGGAUCGUGCCUGAGGGCCCAGCGAGGCCCACCCAGGUCGCUGGCACUAAAGAAGACCAGCCCUCGUACUAUUACGUGUUGCAGGCGCGAUUCAACAAUGGAUCCCCUCUAGUUAGGGUUUUACCUUCCUCUCGGCGCCGAUGGCGACGUAGAGACCUCUGAUCCCUCCCCCACCGAACUACGUCUUCUUCUCGGGCUGAUCCAGGGGCGUCCUUCGGGUCGCCACCCGGCCUUGGAAGGGAUCCAGAGUUUUUUGGCGGGGAUAGGAUUAGGUGCUCCCGUGCGGGAGCGAUCUGUCUUCUAGGGUUUAUCAUGGCGGACCGAGGCAGCACCUCUACAGCGAACAAGGGCAAAGCAAACCCGGUGGAUAUGAUGAAGGAACUAGCCCUCGAUGAGGACAACCUUGAUGACGUGGUUUUUGAGGACAAAGAUGCACCGGCAGAUGAGAAUCUCCGCUGGAUGAUCUUGGUCAGGGUUCAUAUGGAUAAAGACUUCAGCAACUACUGGUUUUUCCGCACGAUGCGUGCAGCCUGGGAUCUGGCGAGGCCGGUGAAGAUAAAAACUCUAGAGGAGAAUCUCUUCAUAAUGCAAUUUGAUUGUUUGGGUGAUUGGGAAAGAGUGACGCAGGGAGGUCCGUGGCACUUCAAGGGCAACCCUGUGAUCAUUGCCCCGUACGAUGGAUUCACCAAGCCUUCUACGAUCGAACUCUACAAGUUUGAGAUAUGGGCCCGGAUCAUUGAUCUACCCCCGGCGUAUCAUGGUAAAGUUAAGGUGUUGGCCUCCAAGUUUGGUGAGUUUGUUGACGCGGAACCCGCUUCUUUCGAUUUUGAAGGAAAUUUCUUCAGGGUAAGGGUACGGCUGGAUGUUCGUAAUCCGUUAAAGAAGGCCACCUCACUGAUCCAUGGUGGCGAACGAGAGAUAUUUGCAGUCCGCUAUGAGAGGCUACCGGACUGGUGCCAGGUGUGUGGUAUGAUGGGGCAUCAGUUCAAGGAACAUGGGGACGGCGUUCACCCACCGUUUGCGUUGGUGUUCAAGAAUCUGCGUGCGCCGGCCACCACCAGCUGGGCUACCAGGAGAAGGAGUAAUAGCCAGAAGCAGCAGCCAGCAAGGGGCAACUUCUCUGAAGCUGGAAGUGGUAUCGCCAAGGGGGGAGAGAAGGUCGUUAGUGCAGUUGAUGACCCUGAACUGAGUCGCAAAAGAUCCUCAGAUGCAGUCCUGACCGAAUCAGCAAAGGAAGGGACAGGCUUGGAGCUCGCCCUGGUGGUCAAAGAUGCAGUUGUGAAUCAGGUUCCCCUGAGUCCACCCCCAAAGCAAGACCCCAAAGAACAAAAACUGUUAUGCAGGCUGAAAAGAAUAACUCAAGGGAUGGAAGAAAGGCACCGGCUAGCAAGAUCAACAACAACAAUGGUGCACGUUUGGCGGCCUCCUCCGGGGAGGACCGCCGUGCACAAUGAAUCUCUUGAGCUAGAAUUGUGGGGGAUUGGCAACGCCCCGACAAUUCAAGAGCUGCGAGAAACCACGAAAAAGUUUGCCCCUAAAGUACUAUGUAUUGUUGAAACCCAGAUUAGCGGUGAUAGAGCAGAAAAUCUCAAGGGUACUUUAGGCUAUGACAAUGCUUUUGCUGUUGAUUCCUCCGGUAGGAGUGGAGGUUUAUGUAUUUUUUGGAACAAUGAAAUAAAGACGGAGAUUUUAGGUUACUCUAAGUAUCAUAUAGAUGUCAAAAUCAGUAUGCUUGGGGGGGGGGGGACCGUGGAGGCUCUUAUGUUUCUAUGGGGAGGCCCAAACGCACCUCCGGCAUCAAACCUGGACAACCAUGUGUAAUCUGGCCACUCUCCAUAAUAUGCCUUGGAUGUGCUUGGGAGACUUUAAUGAAGUGCUCAGAUAUGACGAGCAUGAUGGAAUUGGUACUUGUAGUCAAACCCAGAACCAAGGAUUCAGGGAUGCAGUGGAUGUGUGUGGUCUGAUAGACCUCGGUUUCACUGGCAGAAAGUGGACGUAUGAGAAGAAGGUAGCAGGAGGGUCGUUCACAAAGGUGCGCCUAGACAGGGCACUUGGGAUGACCGAGUGGUGCACGCUCUUUCCUAACGCAACUGUUGAGCAUCUAUCGGCUGCAACUUCUGAUCACUCGCCCAUUCUCGUACACCUUGCCACAAUCAGUCCAGGAGCAAAGACUGAGAAGAGGUUCAGAUAUGAGGUAAUGUGGGACACUCAUGCGGAGUUGAAGCAAACAGUUCGGACUGCAUGGGAACCCGGGGGACAGCUAACAGCGAACGAAAUUCGAUCAACGCGCUUGCAAACAAUUUGGGAUAAUGGGCAAAGUCUUCUUUCGGAAGUGUUCGAGGGGAGAUUCGCAUCCUCAAGAAAGAACUUGACAGGCUACGUAAUGAGCCGACGAGGACAGGCCCGUCUCAUGCAGAAAUUAAAAUUAACGAUAGGCUCAUCGAGCUAUAUUUACGGGGAGAGCUCAUGUGGAGGCAGCGGUCCCGUAUUGAAUGGUAGUCCGCUGGAGAUCGUAAUACUCAUUUUUUUCAUAUGCGAGCAUCGAUGAGGCGUAGGAAAAAUCUGAUAAAAGCCUUGCAAAGGGCUGAUGGCGAGCUCACAGAGGAUAUGACGGAGAUGCAGCAGCUAGCCCUGGACUUCUACAAAAAUUUGUAUACGUCAGAAGGAGUACAGGGAGUUGCAGAAGUACUGGAACACGUCCCGGUCAAGGUGACACCAGCAAUGAACGCAGUUUUGAUGGCACCGUAUGAGGAGAAGGAAGUGAAAAUGGCCUUGUUCCAGAUGUUCCCUACUAAGUCCCCGGGACCCAAUGGCUUCCCUGCUCAUUUCUUUCAACGCCAUUGGGAUGUUUGUGGAGAAGCGGUCACCCGGGCCAUCCUAGGCAUUGUUCGUGGGGAGGAGAGCCCAUCAUGCGUUAACGAUACACUUCUGGUCUUAAUCCCUAAGGUAUCUAAUCCCACGUUACUGUCACAAUUUCGCCCUAUCGGUUUAUGUAACGUUUUCUACAAGAUUGCCUCAAAAGUGUUAGCAAACCGACUAAAGAUCAUCCGACCAGAUAUAAUCUCUGAGGAGCAGUCCGCCUUUGUACCGGGAAGGCUAAUUACGGACAAUAUUAUUUCAGCUUAUGAGUGCCUACACUUCGUGAAGAGGAACAGGGCAAAAAGCAAUUCCUUUUGUGCGCUCAAGCUUGAUAUGAUGAAGGCUUAUGACAGAGUUGAAUGGGAAUACCUUAGAGCUAUCAUGGAGAAGCUAGGUUUUGCUACCCCCUGGAUUACUGUCAUCAUGAACAUGGUGAGCUCUGUAUCCUUCUCAGUGAUGUUUAAUGGAAAAAAGUUGGAAGAAUUCAACCCUACACGUGGCAUUCGACAGGGAGAUCCCAUCUCUCCUUACCUUUUCUUGUUGGCAGUAGAGGGCCUUUCGUGCCUACUCAAAUCACAAAACCAGUCAUCCCAGCUCGGCGGCAUUAAGGUGGCACCAUCGGCCCCGUCGGUGAACCACCUUUUAUUCGCGGAUGAUAGCCUGCUGUUUUUCAGGGUAAGUGUUGAUGGAGCAGAGGAGAUAUCAAACCUAUUGGAGUCAUAUUGUAUGGCAUCGGGACAAAGAAUCAACAGGGACAAAUCAUCUAUAUUUUUCAGUAGGGAAACCCCGGAGAUAGUUCGUGCUGCGGUCAAGGGUUUCCUUCAUGUUCCAAACGAAUCUUUGAGCGAUAGAUACUUGGGGAUGCCUACGGAUGUGGGGCAUGCCAAGAAUGGUACAUUCAAAUACUUAAGUGAUCGUGUGUGGGACAAGGUAAAAGGAUGGAUGAGCAAGUGUUUAUCAGCGGGAGGAAAAGAGGUUCUAAUUAAAUCAGUAGCUCAGGCCAUACCAGUAUAUUCUAUGUCUUGCUUUAAGCUACCAAGAGGUUUAUGUGAGCAUAUAAAGUCUAUUAUUCGGAAGUUUUGGUGGGGCUGUAAAUAGGGCAAAAGGAAGCCGGCUUGGGUAUCGUGGGAUGUGAUGAUGCGGCCUAAACACUUGGGAGGAUUGGGGUUCAGAGAUUUAGAGUUGUUUAAUCUUGCUCUUUUGGCCCGUCAAGCCUGGAGACUUUUUAAUGAACCAUCUACUUUGAGUGCUAGAAUACUCAAAGCUAGCUACUUCCCCGAGACUACAUUGUUAGAAGCUCAACUUGGUGCUCGCCCCUCUCAGAUUUGGCGAGCAAUAAUCGAGGGAAGAGAUGUGAUGAAGCAAGGAAUCAUUAGAAGGAUUGGAAACGGACAGACCACCGAUAUUUGGCUGGACAAUUGGAUACCAAAAGAACACACACCAAGGCCCAUUACGUCCCUCGUGCAAGACCCGCCGACGAAAGUGGCGGAGCUGCUACAACCAUCCACCGGAGGGUGGAACGAGGACUUGGUAAGGUCUGUGUUUAUUCGUUUUGAUGUUGAUGCUAUUUUGAGAAUCCCAGUGUGUACUCGCAAUGUUGAGGAUUUUUGGGCAUGGUACCCUGACAAAAAAAGGAAGGUUCUCUGUCAGUUCGGCUUACAAAUUUAUGGUAAGCACAAAACUGCAGCGCGAGGAAUGGCUUGAGGGCAGAUCAGGAUCUUCUUCAGGUGAGGAGGAGGGCAAAGCCUGGUCAGCAUUAUGGAAGAUAUCUAUACCCUCGAAGAUUAAAAUUUUUAUUUGGCGCUUGGCACGGCACUCGCUGCCUACCACGGAUGUCUUACACCACAAAAAUAUGGCAACCCAGGACACUUGCCCUUUGUGCGGGUGUCAGGACUCAUGGCGCCAUGCUUUGAUGUCCUGUACAAUGUCAAAGUGUGUGUGGGCACUAUCAGAUGCAGAUGUGGUGCUGGCAAUGCCAGAACUAGAGGAACCAAGUGCAAAGAGGUGGCUGUUUGAGUAAUACAGCAGGUUGGACCAUGCAAAGUUUACAUCAAUGACUGUCACACUUUGGGCUAUUUGGUAUGCACGUCGAAAAGUUGUGUACGAGGCAAUAUUUCAAGCGCCACACCAAACUAUUUCUUUUGUGAACAACUUCCUCGCUGACUUGCAAGAGAUACCUAAGCCUAACAAGGUGGUUUCCAUGACAGCACGGGUGGCCGGAACUAGGCGAUGGCUCGCUCCAGGAACCGGAUCUGUCAAAGUUAAUGUGGAUGGAGCAGUAGCGCGAAGCAGAAGGGGCGGAGCAGUGGCUGCACUAUGUCGAGAUGAGCAGGGCAACUAUCUGGGGUCCUCGGCAGUGGUCUAUGGAGGUGUUACUGAUCCCACGAUCUUGGAAACCUUUGCUUGCAGAGAGGGAUUAGCUUUGGCAGAAGAUCUAAAUGUUCAUGAGGUGGUUCUGGCUUCAGAUUGUGAGGGAGUUGUCAAUGACAUCAAUGAUGGAACAAGUGGGGCAAACUCAGCAAUCGUACAUGAAAUUACAGCUCGUAGUUCUGGUUUUGCUUUCUGCAAGUUUAUUUUUGAACGUAGAAACUUCAAUUUUGAGGCUCAUAAUCUCGCAAAGUAUGCAUGUAAUCUAGGCAUAGGUAGACAUGUGUGAUUGGGUAUUCCUCAUAACCCAGCUAGUGUACCUAUGAACAUCUCUCUGAAUUAAUAAAGCUUGCGAGAUCUCUAAAAAAAAACGUGUUGCAGGCGUUACGCGUGUACGACUCGGAACACGUACGCGUAAAGAUCGAGCAGGAGUUGUGCCGAUCGACGACGUACGCCUUCUCCGCCUUCCACUCUGAUCUGGUAGGGUUCGUUGCUAAUCGGUCGGGGGCCGCGUCGGAUACGGCUCCUACUCCUACCUCGAUUCAGAUAUCGAUCGAGCCACGCGCUACAAAUAUAUAUAUCCCCGCACGACGUACGCCACAAACCACCAAAGCAAACAUAAGACGAAAUUGAGCGGAACCAUGAGCCAUCAGAUCGAUCUGAAGACGAGCGACUGCACCAUGGCCGCCGCCGGCGACGACGACGACUGGGUGUACAUCGACGGUGACCAAGAGAUGACGGCUUCACCGGCGCCGGCUGUCGUAUGUGCCUGCGCCCCGGCGCCUGACGAUGCUGCGACGGAGGUGGUGGUUGCCGCGGACGCUGCCGGUGAUGGCGCAGCGGAUGACGCCGACGCCGUGGAAGACGAAGACGACUGCUCUGACUACUCCAACGGAGGCCGCCUCGAGAAAGCCUACGAGUUGGACCAAGACCUCGACCAAGUAGACGAUGAGUCCGAGCGGCAUGAGGAGGCCACCCCCGCACCGGCACCGGCGCCGUCAGCGCACGGCUACAACUCUCGCCACUCAGCCUACAUAGCACGACUCUUUGCCUCGUCGUACACCUCUUACGACGGCUACCGCAACGGAGGUUACGACACCAGCUCUGGCUAUGAUGGCAACGGCUAUGGCGGCGGAGGUUAUGACAGCGGCCUCUCAGACUAUGACUACGGCGGCGGACGUGGAGGUUAUUACCGCGGCAUCUCGGGCUAUGACUACGGCGGCCUAGGUUACUACUACUACCUCUUAGGCUAUGACUAUGGCAUGAGCGGCGGAGGAGGUUACGGCAUCGGCUUUGGCUAUCGCUACGGUGGCGGCGGAGGCUACGGCGGCAUCUCAGACUAUGGAUAUCGCUACGGCCGCAACGGAGGUCAUUACUCUGACUUUGACUACGGCGUCCUUGGAGAUCGUUACGACGGCAGCUCUGGCAAUAGCUACGGUUAUUUGUUCAUCGCAUAGGGGUGUGGUGCUUGGUAUCGUUUCAUCGCAGUAGAGUAAUAGUAGUUGGUAAUUGCUGUUUGGAUCUAUAUUUUGUUACGUAGUAUUAUUAUAUCUUGUCAGAAAGAAUUAAACUAUUAGUUAUAUUAAGUGUGUUGCUGAACUCUUGAACUUAUUUGCUACUUCUCCGUUGCUAUGAAAUCCUAUGUGACAGUUUGAUACUUCCUUUCUUACACGUAUAGCACUUACUUCCUCCGCUUAAGAAUUAGUCUAGAGAUAUAGAUCCGUUUAAGCAUCAACUAAUUCAAGAUGGAGGGAGUAAUAUAUAACCCAAGUCCCAACUAAUAGAAGAUUAGCAUAGCCUAAGCGCGCGGCGCCCAUUGCCCAUAGAAGCGCCCAUCAUUAAAUUAGAUGUUGACAAUAUUGGAGGAUUUAUAUAAAGGUAAUGAUCGCUGCGCCCCUCUGGAUUUUUGUUAUAUGAAGAGAAACUAGUGUUGUUGUUGUAGAAAAUAAAGUUAGCUAAAUCUCAACGGCUGGCUUCAUAACAUCUCACCAGAUUCAGAUUUAGCAAACUUUAGUUGGGUUGCACUGUCAUGCAACAUAAAAAUUGUUGCAUUGGCACAUCCAGAUGCGCAUAAUGCAUUAAGUUUUAUUUUCAUGAAUAGUGAUAAUGGCACACCAGUUAACAAAUGCUCACUUAAAUAACAAAGCAAGGUUCUUAGCUCUAAGAACAUCCGUAUAUGGGCAAUUUCAGUCCCUCCUACGGUCUUGUUAAGAAGCCUUCAAGUCUCAUACACCAGUCAUGUAAAACUGCAAAAAGAACACGCAGACCAACAUCAAGCAACCUUUUCAGCCUACCAUUAGUGAACUUUGGACUUCCAGUGGAAAAUCCAGUGAAAAGCAGCUAGAGAUAUGCAGAUCAAUGUACUCUUUCCAAGACUAAAUUGUCCAGGGAAGAGAAAAAUAGCCUUUCAUGUAUUAAUUAUGUUAUAAAUCUUCUAGUAAAAGAACUUGUACUCUUUUUUUCAUAUACUCCCCCCACACUAGGUGAGCGGGUGGUGUGGGGGUGAAGAGAAGAAGAACAACACAACCAGCAUGAGGAGCACCCAAAAGGCUAGAACCAAAACCAAAAACCGAACAUGGCAGGCCACAGCAGCAUCCCACAAACUAGCAACCGUCACUCGGGCGCAAAACAGAACGUGAACCCUCCUCGGUUUGCCAUGAUAGAGUUAGUUUCAAGAGCCACGCAGAUAUCUUCAGGCGACUGGCGAUGCCAGGUCCCCUUACUGAUUUUUUUGUUCAUCUUCAGAGCUUGAUGCAGCUUCGCGGCUUCUGGGCGCAAGUGCCUGGAGAAUCUCACCUCCAUCCACCAACGCCUGUUUGUCCUCCGGCGAAUGGAAACCUUCCAACUAUUUCAGGAACACACAGUCCGUAUAACAAACAUACCAGUUCAGCAGGGGAACGAAUCCCCUUCCAUUCGAAACGAGCAUUAUUUCUAAUUUUCAGAAGAGCCAAGCACACAGCUGCACUCCAGUAAGGAUAUAUGACAGAAUUUUGUCGGAAGUCUAUAACCAACGAUGUGAUAAUGAAAGUACCAGAAUGUGAAGCGUAAAAUGGAUUUAAAAUAGUAUGAGAACAGUUACAUGGUAUCCUUUCCGAAAAAGUUCAGUCUUGCCAUGGAACUUCAUAAAUUAAAGAAAGUAACAUCUAAUGCAAACAUGAGAUUAAGCAGCCUAACUACCGAAGCUACUAGCAGCUAACUACAGAUGAACACGAACAUGCAAAGUUCUAAAAGAAGCUUACUCUUUCAGCACCACCAUCAUAGCACACUACGUAUCGCUGUAGUUUCCAAAACCAAGGAAGUCCAUCGCAUUGUUCCCACAAGCAAACAGAGUCAAGAUCAAUUCUGCCAAUCAGAAACCCUUUUGCACUCAACCGCAGCAUCGCACUACUGGGUUGGUGAUCAUAGGACGGAGAGG
rnacentral:lncRNA from 1 species